rnacentral:lncRNA from 1 species
GACUUCAAGAACAUCAAAGAAAGCCUAAGAUCAUUUCUCCAACCAAACUCAAUCAAGACCAACAUUUCAAGACCAACCGGGCAAGUUCUAGGUGACAAAAGCAAACACAAGGCAUUAUUCAACAACUCACCACACAUGGCCUGCAAAUCAAUCAAGAUGGUUCAAAAUCUUCCUUUUCAAACUACAAGUAGCAUUGAACAUUUUAACCGCUAACGAAUCAAAAGUCACAAAAAGAGUUGUAAGAGUUGUCACAAAAUCAUUCAUGACAUGCUCAACCUUUUAAAAAUGGAGAGGUAUGCUCAACAUUAUUCCCAUGCAUGACUAUGCUUUUAGUACCAACCAAGUCAAAACCUUCCCAAAAAGACGAUGAUUUUGCCCUUAAGAAAGCCGUCAACCAAUCCAUCAUUAGGCAACCUCAUGCAUCUAUUCAGGAACAGCUACUCAGACUUCGCCACAAUCAACGCCAAUCAAACACUCACAAGCAAUCGACGAUUUACCCUUAAGAAAGUCAUCACUCUCUAUCCAUCAUCGGGCAUCGUCAAUCCAAAUCUUCUUAUCAAAACAAAAAUCAAGAAGCUACAAACUACAAAUCAAAAACUAAAAUAGACCAAUCCAACACAAUAUCAACAGAAACAUCCACAAUAUCAAAUCCCGUCAAGGGCACACCAAUCCAUAACAAAGAAAGAAAAGUAUGCCCGAUAAGGGCAUAAUCACUGUAUGCAGAAACAAUCAACAAAAUGACUACAAGGGAGGCACCCCCAACUGAAAAUGAGAUUGUGUUCUCACAGUCAAAAUAUCAAAAGAGAAUACGAGGGACUCCCUGAACUGCAUCACUAUGAGCUCGAGCCGGUAGGAAAUGUGAGUUCCUUCUCAUCCGAAGCACUGCUGCCACAUAAGCUCCUCUUUAGCUUUAUAGAUGCUACAAAGGGGAAAACCAUCAGAAAACGGGAUGAAAAGAAGUCGCACUCUGAUUAAAGAUCCAGCACAAAACAAAUAGCACAUCAGGUGUGUAAUCACAUUAUUGAGAAAGUUGGAUGUGGAGAGGAUACAAAUGAGUGGGACAAGCUAUGGGAUGGCACACAACUCAGGAAAAUUCAAUGUUAAUAGUGGUUGGGAGAUUUUGAGAAAUGCAAGUAACAGGGAGAAUUCAAGUUCAUUUGGGAAAAAGGAAUUCCUUUUAAAGUCUCUUUUUUCAUAUGGAGGUUAUGGAAAGAGUAGCUCCCAAUUGGUAAAUUUCUAAUACGAAUAGCCCUGGUAGAUGAUGUAAGGUGUUGUGAAACAUUAGCCAAAGAAUCCUACGAGCAUCUUUUUAUUACUUGUUAAGUAGCUACCAGUUGUGGAAAACUUUUGCAGCAGCAGCAGGUUUGCGAGGCCCUUUCCCACAUCUGAAAAGACACCAUGUUUAAAAUGGUGGAAUGCUACAUGUUCUGUCAAACUCAGACUACUUUUUAAUGCUGUCCCUACUUUUAUAAUGUGGCAAAUUUGGAAGAGGAGGAAUAUGAUAAGGCAUGGUGGUAAGAUGUCUGUGCAAGGUAUGAUGAUGGAGAUAAAUAGGAACCUUCACUACUUGGCAAUUACAAGGUAUCCUUGGUUGAGGAACAUCUCUAAUAGUUUGCCUCUGAUAGUGAAAUUCUUUGAAGCCUAUACCCCAUUAAUUGAAUGUAGAGUGGUGAAGUGGAAACUACCUAACGAAGGUGUCUAUAAGUGCAAUUCAGAUGGAACUUCAAAGGAAAUCCGGGACCUAGUGCAAGUGCUUUCUGCAUUAGAAAUAAUGCAGGAGAGUUUAUAGUUGCUGAAGCUAAAAGCUAGGAAAGUGCUACAAGUUUAGAGGCAGAAGUAGUGGCGUUGAGAAGUGGACUGGAAUUUUUGUAUUUUAAACAAUUUGCUGCCUGUUAUCCUUGAAACUGAUUCCUUCGCAGUCAAACAGACACUAGAUGGAAUAUGGGGAAGUCCCAUGUAACAUAUAGAGAUGUGGAAAUCGAGCAUACACUAAGGGUAACAUGCUGGUGGAUUUUUUUUGCUUAUCAAGUUUUCUGUUUUGUAGGACUCAAAGAUUAACUUAUAAUUCAAUACAAGAAGUCCAAAAUGAAGGAAAAGAUAUAAUAAACAUGGAUCGGAAUUAAAUUCCCAAUAUACGGCUAACAAGAUGUCUAAAUGAGAACUUCAGAAUGCUACAAUAACGAUAUUAUGCAAGAACUGUAAGAGCUCGCAACAAUCACAAAGAUUUUCACUGGAAGAGAAACAGACUUACUAGAUCGUGUGUGAAAGUUGCAAUUGGAUCUGAAUUUUUCUCUCCUCUUUGGCAGUGGUAUUAGUUCUCUGUGAGCUCAACCUGCCUAGAAAGGGAAUUAAUCUGAAAUGAUUUCAAUUUACAGCGUCACGAAAUUCAGUUUUGUACAAUUAAAUAUUCAACCAAGAACACAAUUUAAGAUUCAAGAUUUAACACUGAUGGUUUUUACACUGUGAAGUUUGAGUAAAAUGUAAGUUUCUACUUGUCGAUGUGUUCUGUUGUGGCCUGUGGGUCUUGACAACCUCUUCUUGUCAUGUUAGGAAGAUCAAGAAACUGCAAACAGGAUGUACCGCAUAGCAAGGGCAUCUGAAUUUUUGGUGAUCGCUGGGAUUGGUAUUAAUGAACUGAAGAUCACAAAAAAGGCACUAGUAUGGCCAUUGCAGAAAUGUCGGGUCAUUGAUGUUACUCCUGUGAACUAUACUUUUGAAGUCAAUGCUAUGAGUGCUGAGAAGCUGCCCUUCCUUCUCCCUGCUGUUUUCACUAUAGGUCCAUGUGUGGAUGACCAUGAGAGACUUAUCAAAUAUGCUAAACUUCUAUCCCACCAUGCACGUGAUUCACACGAUGCGAAGGACCUUGUUCAAGGUGUCAUUGAGGAAGAUACUCGUGUCUUGGCUGCUUCCAUGACCAUGGAGGAAAUCUUUAAAGGCACAAAAGAUUUCAAGAAGGAGGUAUUUGACAAGGUUCAGCUUGAGCUCAACCAAUUUGGCUUGCUGAUUUACAAUGCUAACAUUAAGCAACUGGUCGAUGUUUGAGGGCACGAAUACUUUUCUUACUUGGGGCAGAAAACUCAAAUGGAAGCUGCAAACCAAGCAAAAAUUGAUGUUUCUGAGGCCAAAAUGAAGGGUGAGAUUGGAGCUAAGGAGCGAGAAGGUCUCACACGUCAAAAUGCUGCCAAAAUUGACGCUGAGACAAAGAUCAUAUCCACCCAAAGGGAUGGUGAUGGAAAGAAAGAGGAGGUUAAAGUGAAGACUGAUGUUAAGAUAUAUGAAAAUCAGAGAGAAGCUGAGGUGGCUGAGGCGAAUUCUGUUCUGGCAACCAAGAAGGCUGGGUGGUCUCAGCAAGCAAAAAUGGCUGAGAUCGAAGCCCAGAAAGCUGUAGCAAUACGGGAGGCUGUAUUACAACAAGAAGUUGAGAGAAAGAAUGCAUUGACUAAGACAGAGAGCCUGAAAGCACAACAUCUCAGUAAGGCUACUGUUGACUAUGAGAUUAAGGCAAGUCCAUCAUGUCACAACACUUCUCUUUUAGUACCUUGGGGCAGAUUUUUUUUGCUAAUCAAGUUUUCUGUUUUGUAGGUACUCAAAGAUUAACAUAUAAUUCAAUACAAGAAGUCCAAAAUGAAGGAAAAGUUAUAAUAAACAUGGAUCGGAAUUAAAUUCCCAAGAUACGGCUAACAAGAUGUCAAAAUGAGAACUUCAGAAUGCUACAAUAACGAUAUCAUGCCAGAAACUGUAAGGGCUCGCAACAAUCACAAAGAUUUUCACGGGAAGAGAAACAGACUUACUAUAUCGUGUGUGAAAGUUGCAAUUGGAUCUGAAUUUUUCUCUCCUCUUUUCUCUGUGAGCUCAACCUGCCAAGAAAGGGAAUUACUCUGAAAUGAUUUCAAUUUACAGCAUCACGAAAUUCAGUUUUGUACAAUUAAAGAUUCAACCAAGAACACAAUUUAAGAUUCAAGAUCAGACCCAGCUACACAUUGAAUCUGAAGUCAUAAGCAAUCAUUAACUAUCAUAAGAAUGGCGAUUGCAGACGAGUUGAAUUAAGGUUGGAAAAAAGAACAUCUGGCUUAGGAAACGACACCCAAAAGAACAAGAAAAUUGAGAUUUUGUAUUAGAGAAAAAGGGAAAAUGGGUGAAGGUACAAAGCAUCUGCUUAUUGUAAGAAUGAAAUAAAACAAAGAGCAAAGCAAAACUUUAAAUGUAUAACCCCUCAAUUCAAGAACGAAAAGGGAAAAUUGUGAAACCUGAAUUGUUAAUCUCCAUUACUAAUCUUCUUGAAAAGGAAAACGACACCCAAAACCUCCAUUGCUAAUCUUCUUGAUGCUACUGAGAGUAACAGAUGAUCCAAAGAGAUGGAAGCACGGAGGCAAAAGGAAAUAUUUCAAAAGCAUGCGUGAUGAGCCGUUACACUUCUGCUCAUCUUCGCUUCUUGCUUGUGAGUUUGAAAAAAUAAAUAAACACAAUGGAACUAAUAAAUAAAUAAUAUACUCAAUAUUUGUUUAUUUUUCGACAUUUAUUUUAACACAUGCACCAAAAUAAAUAAAUAGUAAUAAUAUAGUUAUGAUUAGGGUUGGGCGUUCGGUCGGAUUAGUUCAUGAUAUUCGGUUCGAUUUUUUUAUUUUCGAUUUGGUGAAAAUGUAAAUCAAAACCAAAUUGAAAUAAGUUCGAUUUGGCUCGAUUUUCACAAUUUUGGUUCGGUUUGUUUUUUUUUAGUUUAUGAGAUUACAUUAGAUAUGUUGUUAUGAACAAAUUCACCUCCUUGUAAAAUUUCAAAUAAGGUGUGAUUUGAUCUCUGAUAGAACGUACACAAUAAUUAGAUGAUUUUUAAAAUUUUAGGACCUCAUUACUUGUUAUACAUCUUCAGAUUUAGAUGUUAUACGCUCAUGUUCAGUUAAAACAUUUCCAAAUAAGCAUACAAGGUCUCUGUCUCUGAAUGUGAGAGACGAGGGUGGUCGACAAGUGGUUUGUGUGAGUCAUGACGACAGCGACAGCGAUGGCGACGACCUAUGGUGUGCAUAAGUCACAUGAUAACAACGAUGGAUAACAGAGAUGAGCGGAUUGUGGAGAGGUUAAUGGUUAGGACUUAGGAAUUUCAAUUUUAAUUUUGGAUUAAUUUUAAAUUGGGUUAAUUUUAAUGGGUUGUGGGCAGUAGCCAUUUGGGGGAGUCCAGGGCUCAAGGCAUGAGUUCAUGUGAGUAAAUUACAUUUUGAUUUUUUGGUUUAACCGAAUUAAAUUAUUCAAAACUCGAAAAUCGAACCGAAAAAAGUAAAAUUUCAAUAUCUUAAAUUGAAACCAACCGAUUAAAUUGAAAUCGAAAUUUAAAAAAAUUCAGUUCGAUCGAUUUUUUCGAUUUGAACCGAAAUAUGUCAAGCCCUAGUGAUGAUGUACAAUAACUUAUUGUACAUAUAUUAAUGAUGAAAACUUGAAUAGAUACGAAAUUAUACUAGAUGUCCCUCAAAGUGUGUCAUCUUGGUUUUUUGUCUCUCGUAGAAAAAAUCUUCAAGACUAGUAAUUUUUCUUCAGUAUCUCUUUUGAACUUGGCAGCAAAACUUACUUUAGCAUUUUAACUAAACAGACGUUUAAAUACCUCUUAACAACUUUCAAGUUAAUUAAAUUACACCCUAAUGGGUGACGUGACAAAGUGAGUUGACUCACUCUCCCAAAUGCGCGUGAAGAUAUUAAAAAAAAUUAUAAAAUCAUACACAUGUCAUUUUCUAUAGGUCAAUAUAUAAUUAGUAUUUUAAAUAUUAUUUUAUUGAUACAUUAACUUUUUUAAAAAUAUGUGAAUUUUUUUGGUGGCCCAAAAAAAUUAAUUUUCUUUUUCUUUAUUUUGUUGUCUUCCCCAAUAUAACUUCUUCUCCAUUGAAGCAUCACCACUUCCUUCAUCUUCAACUUUGUUCACUACUUCCAUUUCACCAAUCCUUUAGUAAUCCAUAAAAUUCAACACCAAUAUCUUUUAUUGACGUCAAUUUCACAAAUAUAACAAUUUACAUAAAUUUUGAGUGAUCUGUUUUUAUUUUUUUUAAUUUCCACAAGACAAAUUUGAGGUGGGGGGAGAGGGGAGGGAUUCGAAGAAGAAAAUAUGGUAUUGUAGUAAUACUUCUCUAAAGUUAUUUAAAUUUUUUUUUGAAUUUUUUGAAUGAUCCGUUUUAAUUUUUUUAAUAGAUUCAAAGAGGGGAAAGGGAGGGGAGGGGAGAGGAGGAAUUCGAAGAAGAUAAUGUUGUAUUGUAAUGGUUCUUCUCUAAAGCUAUUUUUUAAAAAUAAAUUGUGAAGAGGCAGAAAAAAGAGCAGUGAAGGGAUAGAAAUGAUGAAGAAGAAAGAAGUGAGGGGAGGGGAAAUAAAAAUGGGUCUUUGAUUUUAGAAAAUGUAUUUUUAAUUAAUUAAUUAAUUAGUGUAACUUAAUUUUAAAAAGUGUUAAAGAAAAAAAUGGUUAAUAAACAAAAAGAAAUAAAUAAAAGUAAUGACGUGGUGGUGACAUGGCUAUGUUGUGGCGCUUACAUGGCUAUGAUAUGGCAGGUGAGAGUGGUAUUAUAUUCAUUUCAAAAUUGUUAAGGGGUAUCUAAAUGCAUGUGUAGUUAAAGUUUUAAGGUAAAUUUUGUUGCCAAGUUCACAGGUGAUUUGAUGUGUUUUUUUUUUCUUUUCUUUAUGUAUAGAACAAAUAUAAUGUUGUCCCUCUAUACCUCAAAUGUUUUUAAACAACCUCCAUGUUCAAUUGUCUUUCACUAUUUUUUCUUCUUUUUUUUCAUUCUUGAGUUUUAUUAUUUUUCUUUUAUUUAUAAUUUUUUUCUUUUUUUUUCUUAACUCUUAUUAUUUUUGCUAAUGAAUUGAAAGUUGAGUAGAAGAUCUUCUUUCUUUAAUGUAACGAUUCUUCUAGUCAUUUUGUAAAUUUUACUUGUUUUCUAUAGCUUAGCCCUGCUUACAACCUUUUUCAUGGAUAAUUUAUAACUUGCGGGAAUAAGUGACGUGAUUUUUGAAAUAUUUUUUUGUUUUUAAUAAAUAGAAGGGAAAAAGAGAAAGAGUUUUGUAUGUCGUUCUAUUUUUAUACCUGCCUGUCUGCCUAUCUAUCUAUCUAUCUAUCUAUCUAUCUAUCUAGCUAGCUAGCUAGCUAGCUAGCUAGAUGUCUGUCUGUGUAUCUAUCAUCUCUAUCUAUCUAUUUAUCUAUCCAUCCAUCCAUUUAUUUAUUUUACUAGUUUCAGGGCACGUGUGUAUAGUAUAUAUAGUAUACGAUGUUGUAAAAUAGAAUUAAUAUUACUAAAUUAAUUAUUUUUAGUAAAUAAUUAUAACUUAAAAAACAUAGGACAAGUGCUUUAAAAUGAUUAAUACGUAUUGUUAUAGAGUUACUUGUAUUUUGAGAUCAAAAUGACCAGAUAUUUUUGAAACAUUUCAAAAUACAUUCAAAGUUCAAAUAUGGGGAGAAAGUGACACUUCUUUAUUAGUAUUAUUAUUUACAUAACUCAAUUUUGUAAACAAAUCUAACCAACAAAAUUUAAAAAAAAAUAUCAAUACAAAAAAUGUCACCAAUAGUCUUUCCUCUUGAGGUUAUGAACAUAAAUGAUGGACACCAUUUAAGUAUAAUUUUCUCUCUUAAAUAUUCAUAUUUCAAAUUAAGUAUGUGCAUGAAACUAAUAAGGAUUACCAUAAAUAUUUCAAUAUUUUAUCUUUAUACGUAAUCUAUCUUUUACCAAUUAAUACUUGAGUACGACUAUCAUAGAGAGGUAAUUCUACAAAAAAGGUACUUUAUUGUUAUAACGAAUGAUGGUUAAAUUGAGGUUUGAGUGCAUGUCAAAUAUUUAGCUUGACAAUUUCUUUCUUUUAGAUAUACAUAUAUAUUUAAGUAGCAUAAUUUAAUUUUAAUAUAUAUAUAGCAUCACCUUUGGUGAAAAAUAUUUCAUUUCUUUAAAUUUCUACCGUAUCUUUGUAGAAUUGUAGUCUUCUCCUUUUUCCUGCUGCAUACAUACCAUAUAGUUGUUGUUUUAAUGAAAGUAUCUAGUAUCUUAUACAAGUUAUAUCGUGAUAUAAAAUAUUAAACUUUUUCAAUAAUAAAAAUUAAUAGAUGAAUAAAAUUUAAAUUAUUGUUUAUAGAAUCUUUAAUUUGAAUCAAGAUUAUUUUAUGAUCAAUCACUAUUUACUUAUCUAUUUUUAUAUAGCUAACAAGGAGUGUAUCAUGUGACCUAAAAUUUUCUCAAAUUAAAUGAACAAAAAAUAAUAGGAGAAAAUAUAUGGAAAGAUACAUAGCCAAUGAAGAUGGAAGACGGAAAUAUAGUUUCAUGUUAUAUUCACAAUAGAGUUCUAUUUGAUUAAAAUCUCUUGUAACCAACACUUUACUUUUUCGUUCAUUUUUACUUACAUAUCUAUUAAAAUAUAUAUUAUCAUAUUAUAAGUAAUAGUGAAAAUCUAUUUUUGAAAUAGUGAAUUUAACAUCAAAACUAAUAAUUCAACGAACUAAUGCUCAUUGUUUUAGCCAAAUCAGAAAGAAAUUAUUUUAUUUGAGGGUAAAAAAGAGAAAAUGGCCAAAUCCCUCCUCAAUCUAUAACCAAAUUCUCAACUACACACUUAUAUUUUAUGAGAGUCCUAUUACCCCCUUGAACUACUUUAAAGCGAAAUAUAUACCACCCUUAAACUAGAUAACCACAUUCUUUGUAUGUGGCGUGCACACGCGCUACAACUGUCAAAUAUCAUUAUCAUUAUUAUUUUAAAAGUAAAUGUUAUUCUUCUUUUUCAUUGCCAACAACAUCAUCUUUACUCUUCUCUUCUCCAGAUAUUGAGACAUGAUUUUUAUUUCUUUUCACUGUAAACUCCCCUAAACCUUUAUCUCCCUCCACCCCAUUUCUCCCUAGACACCCCACCCCCACCCCCACCCUCGUCUUCCAUAACCCACAAAUUAGAUCUCAAUUCAAGAUUCAUAUCAACACUUAUCAUCUCUUUUUCGGGUAAAAGAAAAUCAACAAUAUUUAUCAACAACAUCACCAUCACAACAACAAUUUUAUCAAGUCAUUUAGAUCAACCCCUUCACCUCUCCCACCCAAAUUCUGCAAUCUUGGCACCAAUUUUAAGUUCGAAGUUUUUGCUAAUCAUCUUGGACUUGAGUACAAUUAUGCCCUUUUGAAUCCUUCUUUAAAUAGUGUAGGAUUUAUGCCUUUUAAACUUGAGGAAAUAAUUUGGAUUAUCAGGGUUGAGCAUAAUCGACUGGUGGUUGCUGCUCAAGUUCCUAAAAUCGUUAUUGGGUGUAGUUUGAAUUCUUCAUCGAAAAGUAAUAGAGAUUAGAUAAUAUCUGAAGGUUGGUGAAUUUUAUUAGAGUAAAGAGAUUAAAGACGAUUUAAUUUUAUUCACUAUAUGAGUAAUAUAAUAAUUUUAAUGCUUAUUUGGUGAUUUCGAUGGUGAUUUACAAUGUUAAGAAUUGUGAGUAAAUAGUGUGACAAAUAAUGAGAAAGUACUAAAAGAUGGGUGAAGACAUUGGCUGCUAUGGUAGUGGGCUAGUGGUGGUUCAACAAUGGUGAUGAAGAACAUGUAAGGUGGGGUGAUUUUUUUGAGUGAUGAGAGAGAAAAUUAAAUAAAAGACAAAAGUAAAAAAUUAUAUAGUAAAAAAAAAGUCAAAAUAUUUUUAAAAUAUCUUUUUAUCAGUUUUUUCAACUUUCACAUGCCUUCAAGAGUGUGAGCACACUCUCUGUGCCAUGUCAGCACUUAAGGGUGCAUUUAUACUACUUUAAAAUAGUUUAAGGGGUAAUAGGACCCCUAUAAAAUAUAAGUGUGUAGUUGAGAAUCCGGUUAUAGGUUGAGGGUGUAUUGGACCAUUUUCUCGGGUAAAAAAUAAAAAACCAAAGAAGAAAUAUCUUACCCAAAUCAUGUGACUUUAUUCAUAUUUUAUUAUUAUUAUUGUCUUCCCACAACAUUUCCUCACCGUUAACUCAUAAAAAUCGUAAGAAAAUAUACGAGUGUCAAUUUAUGAAUGAUUUGCUACAAUUUGUUCACCAACUCCAUCUUAUGUGGUACCUCGGAUUUCAUUGAAUUUUGAACUUAAUCAACUAUUACAAAUAACCCUGAGAUUUUUUUUAAGAAGUAGAAGAGUAGAAAACUUUAAAAAUCGUAGUUUAAAAGUGAGAGGAAACCCUCUAUUUAUAGCUAACAAAUAGUAGUAUUAAUAGGUGCUAAUUGUUCCUUAUCAGAAAAGUUGACCUUUCAUAAAAGUCACUGCUCAUCGGAAAAAUCACAACCUUUUGCAAAAGUCACAACUCAUCGGAAAAGGCACAACCCUUUGAAAAAAAUCACAACCUUUCAGAAAAGUCAUAACUCUUCGAAAAUGUCAAACAUAAAAUUUUCUCAAAUUAAAAUGAACACAAAAUAAUAGGAAAAAAUAAUAUGGAGCGAUAGAUAGCAAAUGAAGAAGGAAGACAAAAAUAUAUGUUCAUGCUAUAUUCACUUUAGAGUUCUAUUUGAUUAAAAUCUCUUGUCACCAACACUUUACAUUCUUCGUUCACUUUUACUUACAUAUCUAUUGAAAAUAAUUAUUAUCAUGUAUAUAUUAUCAUACUAUAAGUAAAAGCGAAAAUCUAUUUUUGAAAUAGUAGAUUUAACAUCAAAACUAAUGAUUCAAUGGACUAUGUUGAUGCUCGGUGCUUUAGCAAAAUCAGAAAGAAACUGCUUCAUUUGAGGGUAAAAAAAACAAAUAAAAAAUCAAAGAAGAAAUAUCUUACACAAAUCAUAUGACUUUAUUUAUAUUUGUUUAUUAUUAUUGUCUUUUCCACAAUAUUUCGUUACUGUUAACUCAUGAAAAUCGUAAGAAAAUAUACGAGGUGACUUUAUGAAUGAUUUGCUGCAAUUUGUUCACCAACUCUUUCUUAUCUUGUAUCUUGAAUUUCGUUAAAUUUUUAACUUAAUCAACUGUUACAAAUAACCCUUGGAUUUUUUAAGAAGAAGAAGAAGAGUAGAAAAUUUUAAAAAAUUGUAGUUUAAAAGUGAGAGGAAACCCUCUAUUUAUUUCUAACAAAUAGUAAUAUUAAUAGGUGCUAAUUGUUCCUUAUAAGAAAAGUUACAACCUUUUGUAAAAGUCACUGCUCAUCAUAAAAAUCACAACCUUUUGCAAAAGUCACAACUCAUCGUAAAAGACACAACCCUUCGGAAAAGUCAUAACCCUUUGAAAAAAAUCACAACCUGUCGGAAAAGUCACAACUCAUCAAAAAUGUCAAACAUAAAAUUUUCUCAAAUUAAAAUGAACAGAAAAUAAUAGGAAAAAAAAUAUAUGGAACGAUACAUAGCUAAUGAAGAAGGAAGAAGAAAAUAUAUGUUCAUGCUAUAUUCACUAUAGAGUUCCAUUUGAUUAAAAUCCUCUUGUCACCAACUACUUUACUUUCUUCGUUCAUUUUUACAUACAUAUCUAUUAAAAACUUAUUAUUAUCAUGUCUAUAUUAUCAUAUUAUAGGUAAUAGUGAAAAUCUAUUUUUUAAAUAGUGGAUUUAGCAUCAAAACUAAUGAUUCAAUGGACUACAUUGAUGCUCCUUGUUUUAGCAAAAUCAGAAAGAAACUGCUUAAUUUGAGGGUAAAAAAAAAAAAAACCAAAGAAGAAAUAUUUAUUAUUAUUGUCUUUACCACUACAUUUUGUCACUGUUAACUCAUGAAAAUCGUAAAAAAAAUACGAGUGUGAAUUUAUGAAUGAUUUGCUACAAUUUGUUCACCAGCUCUUUCUUAUGUGGUACCUCAAAUUUCGUUGAAUUUUGAACUUCAUCAAAUGUUACAAAUAACUGUGAGAUUUUUUAAGAAGAAGAAGAAGAGUAGAAAACUUUAAAAAACUGUAGUUUAAAAGUGAGAGGAAACCCUCUAUUUAUAGCUAACAAAUAGUAGUAUUAAUAUGUGUUACUUGUUCCUUAUCAGAAAAGUUACAACCUUUUGUAAAAGUCAAUGCUCAUCGGAAAAAUCAGAAUCUUUUGCAAAAGUCACAACUCAUCUGUAAAGGCACAACCCUUCGGAAAAGUCACAACCCUUUGAAAAAAUCACAACCUUUCGAAAAAGUCAGAACUUGUCGAAAAUGUCAAAACCCGUAAAAAAGUCUCAUCGGAAAAGGUACAACCCUUCAGAAAAGUCACAACCCUUUGAAAAAAUCACAACCUUUCGAAAAAGUCAGAACUCAUCGAAAAUGUCAAAACCCGUCAAAAAGUCGAAACCCUUUGGAAAAGUCACAUUUGUUUGAGAAAAUCGCAACCUUUUAAUAUGAAAGGGUAUUUACAUUUAAUAUAAUACAAAUAAUUAAAUUAAUAAAUAAAACAAAUUGAGUAUUUUUAAUUAGGGGUAUUAUAGUAAUUCAACAUUCAUUUUAGGAGUUCAUACUUUUAAGGUAGUAUAGAUAUUAUAUUAAAAGCACACACAUUUUCACAUUUAAGGGUUGUGAAAUUUCCAAAGAUUUAUAAUUUUUCCGAUGAGUUGUGACAUUUUCAAGGGUUGUGACUUUUCUACAAGGUUGUGACUUUUCCGAAGAGUUGUGACUUUUUUGAAGGGGUUGUGACUUUCCAAAGAGUUAUGAAUUUUCGAUGAGUUGUGACCAUUUUUUUUUUGAUAAGGCACAAUAAGCAUUUUUCUUUGUUGGCUAUAAAAAGAGGGAUUUCCUCAAAUUUUUUAACUACAAUUUUUUUAAUGCUUUUCAUUGUUCUUCUUCUUAAAACACUCAAUAUAGUAUAUUUUCUAUUAUAUUAAAAGAAGACACCAUUUUACAUUGAAUGGUUACAACUUUUCCAAAGACUUGUAACUUUUUCAAUGAGUUGUGACCUUUUCGAAAGGUUGUAACUUUUAUGAUAAGAAACAAUAUGUGUAUGCUCAUACUACCCAUUGUUAACUAUAAAUAGAGGAGUUUCCUCACAUUUUUAAACUACAAUUUUUUUUAUGUUUAUAUUCUUCUCUUAAAAAAAACUCAAGUUUGAUUUACAGACGUUGACAAUUUCAAAGUUCACUGAAACUUGAUCACUUCCUAACAUGAAUGUUCAAAUUAAUAGGCGGAAUGGUCUGGGAGACCCUUGUACUUGGCUCCGUUUGUAUGUUGGACCCUUAUACUUACGACUUUGUCAAUCGAACCCUUAAACUCGCUGAAACACAAUUAUUAAACACCUCUGACCAUUGAUUGAACACAUGUGACAUUAAUAUUGCUGACUUGGAAUGAUGCGUGGUUCCACGCGUUUUAAAGAAAGUGUCUGAAAUUUAUAUGAAAAAAACAAUUAAAUUUUUUAAAAAUAAAUAAAUGAAAAACACCAAAAAAAACAUAAAGGCAGUUAUCUUCUUCAAGCAGCCUGUCGCUGCUGCCCCCCCCCCAACCAACCCCCCAACCAAAUUUCUUAAACCCAUUCCACUUCUUUCCUUCUCUCUUUGGAUUCACCCACCAUUUCCCUUCUUCUUCUUAACACCCCGCACACUGUCUCACCCCUAAAUAUUUUCUCAAAAUUCAUUCUUUUUAAAAAUUUCGAUUUCAUGCGUAGUCUUUGGUGAUAGUGGGUAUUGAAAAAUGAAAAACUUCAUUGAUAAGCUUGAUGAAGCUUCAAGAAUAAUAAAUGGGUUUUGUGAAUUUAUGAAAUAAAUUUGAAAUUGUAUAGAGAUUUGUUGGGUUUAUGUUUGUGAACAAUAUAGUGUAAAAUUCAAGUCAAAUAGUUAAGAAUUCCACCAAUUUAACAUGAAUUUGGUGCUCAAUUUGAGAGCAAAAAUGGAGAAAAUAAUGUUCAAAAUUUCUAGCAUAUGCAGAAGUACUCUUUUUAUUUUUAUUUUAUUUGUUUAAUAUUUAAUUUAUUGUGUGUCAUUAAAAAUGACGUGGAAUUCUACCUGUAAAUGAGUGUACCACACGCACACACAUAGGAUGAGGAAAGAGUUUAAAAUAUUGUGUUUCAGUGAGUUAAAAGGUUUAGUUGACAAAAUUGUAAGUAUAAGGGUCCAACUUACAAACAGAACAAAGUAUAAGGGUCUCUCAAGUCAUUCUGCCAAAUUAAUAUAAUACUCUGACUAAAAACAUCCAAUUUAGUAAAUAUUCUAUAUUUUAUAUCAAUAUUUAUUUAUAUUAUAUUACAUUGAAAGUAAGAACUCCAACGAUACAAUAAUAACUAAGUUAAUGGGUCAAGUCUAAUAUUUAUUUAAUACCUUAUACCACUUGGCCCAUGUAAUAACCCGUUAGGUCAUUUUGAGAAUUUGGACUAUUUUGACUCUUCCCGUAAAAUUUUAGAUGAAAAUUUUGAACAAUUCAGUAACUACGCUUAUUUAAUUGUCAGAAAUUUUUUAAUUAUUAAUUUAAUUAGAAAGUAAUGGGCCAAGUCUGAAAUCUAUCCUAUACCCUUUACCACUUGGCCCAUAAAAUUAAAUUAAGUUAGUGGGUUUUGCCACUUUAAAUACCUAAUUAGUUUAUUUGAAAAAGGAAAAGAAUUGUGGCAGAAAACUUCCCUCUGCAGACGAACGAGAGAAGAAGAGAAAACAAAAUAAAACCAUACUUCGAACUUCAGGUAAGCAAAAAAUUAGUGCACAUUCUUAAUUUUUCUAUAGCUUGCUAUGUAUAUGAAAUAUAUGGCGUUCUAUUUAAAUUGGGUGGACAAGGAAUUGAAAUUGUUUUCUCUAACUACGAUGUCACGAGUGGAGGAAUAAAUUGAGGACUUGUGAUAGUUGAAUGUAAGGGUAAUAUUUAGGUAAUGAUAAUUUAAUAAUUAGGAUAUAAUGAGUGAGUGUGGGGAUAAUCAUUGACAGAGAAGGAUGUCUGCAUAAAUGAAACAUGUAUAUAGUUCCAUUAGUUAUUAUUUUAUCUUAUUUCGUGGGUAAGGUUACACGUGAGUAGCUAUUGGCUUAAAAUUUUGAAUUUUCAUAUAGUUAUUACUAUUUGAAGUUUUAAUAUGUGGAUAUAGGUAACAAAUUUUUGGUGGUAUUGUAUUAUAUGAAUAUCAUUAGAUUCAUGAUAUUUGGGGCUUAACUCUAGCCUUGAAAUUUAACAAAUAUGUGUUUGACAUAUCAGUUGACACCAAAAUUAGGAGUUUGAUUAUCGAUUAGUGUAAGUUUGGGUCUAGGCUAGACAUAUAUUAAUAUGGGUGUCUAUAGACUCAUUUGUUUAAGAAUAUUUCAUAUUUGAUAGAUUCAAAACGUUCGAAAGCUUUGCGAAAGGGGAAGGAAAAAUCUUGAGGAUUUGUGGCACGUGUUCGACAUUCAAGGUAUGUUAAGACUUUCAGACUUCGUUGAAGGACAUUUUUCUAUUUAAAGAUUAAAAAUGAAAUAGACCAUGAGUAAGGGCGAAAGAUAGGGUCUUGUACCAAUGGUGUGAUGGGCAAUGGUACGAGUAGUGGUGUUAUAAAGGGAAAGCUUAUCACUAUAGAAUGUGGAUUGUAAUUCGGGAAUGCCAAAGAACAUGGACAUUAGCUGAUGUAUUGUUGAUUUCUUCUGUGUGAUUGUGUUUUUUUUUGGACCCGUAAAUUUGUUAUAGCUGAGGUGAUUACAUAUCAUAUUGAUAUUUGAUUGAUUGAGAUGCAUCAUCAUCCUUUUUCAUUGAUAUUAUAUUGUGCACAUGUAUUGACAUGAGACUGAGUAUAAGUUAGGUACGUGGAGAUCAUCCGUGCCGGGGAUUGUGAGAUGUUAAGAUUAUAAUUUGAGUACGUGGAGAUCGUCCGUGCAGAAAUUGUUAGAUUUUAUGAUAGUGCGUUGAUAUCGUCCCGCACAGACACGUGGAGAUCGUCCGUAUCGGUAUAUGGAACUCGCGAGUUAGAUUUUAUGAUAGUGCGUUGAGAUUGUCUGCACAGACACGUGGAGAUCGUUCGUGUCGGUAUAUGGAACUUGCGAGUCCGCCAUGGGUCCGAUGUAUUUCCGAGGAUAUCAUGGAUAUGCAGUUCUUCUUCUUCUUCUUCGGUAUAUGGAACUCGCGAGUCCCCCAUGGGUCCGAUGUAUUUUUGAGGAUAUCAUGUAGAUACAGUUCUUCUUCUUCUUUUUCUUCCUCUUCUUCUUCCUGUUCUUCCUCUUCCUCUUCCUCUUAUGAGAGGAUUUUUGAGAGGGAAUUGGGUUUCUUCUGGGGAUUUAGAAACAAUGAUUUGGAAUGACUUAAUUAAGGGUCUAAAGUAUUUAUAUAGGUGGUCUAAAUUAGGGUAAAAUGACACCACUUAAUCCCUAAUUAAUUUCGAAAAGUUCCACUUACCCCUCACUUAACCGCCUAAGACCAACACAUUGCCUCACCCACAAGACCACGCCCACGGGUCGUGGCUGGACCCAUGGGGUGUGGUGGUCAAUCAUGAGUUGUGGUCUGUGGGUCUUCAUUUGGGCCCUUGACCCACAAAGCCAACCACAUGGCGUGGACCCAUCCACGAGGCGUGGGUCCUGCCCGUGGUUACUGCCCUAGGCAGAUUUCAGGAAGGGCUCACCCACGCUGCCCACUUACGGGCGUGGUUCCAUCCACGGGGCAUGGAUGGCCUCGUGGGUUGCACUGUUUUGGGCAGUUCUAGGGUCUUCCUCAAGGACCCUUGGUUGGUCCUUGGGGUCAUACCUUGACGUUCUAACACGAAACCCUAUAUUUUUAGGUACGGGGAGGUACAUUCAUGACUCUAACCCUCACGUCAAGCUCUAGUUUAGCUUACUAGUUUCUGGGGUGUUACACUAUCAAUCAUUAAUUUUACUCUAAUACCUCUUUCUCAAGCAAGCAUAGAGAGCUAAGCUAGAACCGAAUUUGCAACUUCAGUUCAUCAAUUAAAACACGAAAAAACAAUUGAACCCAUUUCCAAACAACAUUAAAUUCAGCAAUUAACAUCCAUAAGCUAAUUAAUGCAUUCGACUACAUGAUCACACCCCUUAGAUAAGGAUUUUUAGCCAAACAUAGCAAAAAGUGAGAAAUCGUUACCAAAAAGAUUGUCCAUCCAAAUUGUUAAAAAUCUGCAAUACUCAAUGCCCGAAUUAAAGCUAGAAUCCUAAAACCUCAAAUUCGAGAUCCAAAUGUUCUCCAAGGUGUUCAACAAUGUAAAAAAUGUAAAAGCUCUCAAAAUUUGGGGAAUACACACUUUAUUAGUCGGGAAUACACACUCAAAAACUUAGAAAUACACACUACUUGUAGACAUUCAUGUUGUCCUAAUCGAUUGGGUUUUACUUGAGGACAAGCAAAUGUUUAAGUUGGGAGUGUUGAUGAGUCGGGAAGUUCGACUCAUUUAGGGCUUAUUAUUCAAUGAAUUAGUGUCCUCAAUGCCUAUUUUGUGCUCAUAAGUGAUGUUAAUGUGUUUAUAAGCAACAAUGAAGGCUUAAAAACAAGACAAGGCCAUUAUGUUGUGAAAAGGAUCGAAAAAGUUGGAAAACCUGAAGAAAUAAGAAGUUGGAGCUCGCAAAAGCCACUCAACGACUUUUCGCGUGAGCCUCCUGCUCGCCAAAAUUUCCAGUGAAGUAGCUCAUGUACCAGGCCAACUUGGCGAGCAAAAGAUGAUUCGGCGUGUCGAAUGGAUCAGUGAUCACGACCCAGCUCGCCUAAUCUUCUAGAACAAUUUGAUGCAGGAACCAAGACACACUACAAGAAAAAGCUUUAUUUAAGACCAAUAUUUAUGGACGAGUCAAUAAUCCCGUCUCUAAAAGUAGAUGUAUUGGGACGAGAUUUUAUUUUGGUCUUUAAUUAUGUAUGUUUUUGUGAAGGUACUAAAUUUGGUCUCUAGAAAAAGUAGUAACUGGUCCCAAAUCAAAAUUUAGGGGUCUUGAGAAAUAUAUAUUGAAAGGCGGGAACUGAAAUGUAUAAAAAAAACAUCUUUUUUCACCAAAAUUAGGCGCCUAAAAGAUCAGUAAUACUGAUAGAUCAAAAUUCUAAAAGUAAAAGAAAAAAAGUGAUCGUGAAAUCAAAAACCCUAGCAAUGAUCUUCCCUAACAACAAUCUUCCCUUACAACGAUUUUUGGAAACGCACUGGUUUACCUAGCAAGAAACACAAUAUAGGUCUGUGUUUUCUCAGAACAGAGAAAGCAGAGGUCUGCGCAGCAGUGAUCUUCACUCAAUCACUAUCUUCUAUUCACUCGAAUCUCAGGUAUUCCUCCACUUCUAUGAGUUGAUUUGAUUUCAUCUGUGAAGUCGAUUAGUUUUUUGUAUUGUUCGAGUUAUAUCUCUUCUUUUUUAAACUCUUGUUCUGUUAGACUAGCUGCCGAUUGUUUUCUUAAAGAACAUGAAGUUUUGUAGUGUGAUAUGAUCCAAAAAAUGAAGGGGAUCAGUCCUUAAUGAAUUACGUUACAAUUUUGUUUGGGUCUGAAGCUGAUGAACUAUGUAAAACGCAAUAGAACUAAUGUAAAUUACCUCAUGUGGUGCUGCACAUUAAAGGUUGAAAGAGUGAUAACUUCGUUUGCAUCUGAAACUUGGGUUCUUUAAAGCUUCGUUUGCAUCUGAUGAAACUUGGACUCUUUAAAGGUUUAAAGGUUGAAAGAACUAAUGUAAAUGACUUCCUGUGGUGCUGCACAUUAAGUUAUAGUUUCGUUUAAAGCAUUCUUUCCUCUUUUUCUAGCUAGUUCUCUGAUUUCUCUCUACUUGUAUCUCAGCUACGCAUCCUCUUUUGCAAGUUUUUUUUUUCUGCUCAAAAUUUUAAUUGUUGAUUGUUUUCUUCCUAUAGCAUAGUGUAUAGUGUGUGCCUAAAGAAUUGAUCAUAUUUUUACGAUGAAAUUCAUUCAAGCUAAUGAAAGAUGAAGUAUGACAUAAAACUUAUGUAAAUUACCUCUUGUAUAUGAUGUACAUAGUAGGUAGAAACAACGAUAGUUUCAUUUAGGUUUCAAAACAUGGAAAACUUGAGAUUUUCAAGAAGAUAUGUUCUAGCAGUACCACCAUAUUUUUUCCAUUCUUGUAAAACUGAAUCACUAGUUGUUAUCUAUUUGUUCAAGUUUCACGUAAGCCUCCUCUUUUGGGACCUGCUUUUUUCUUCUUCUAUAUAUUUGAUUUGUUUGAGUUACACUACUUGUUUGAUUUCAUCUGUGAAGUCAGUUUGUUGUUUGUAUUGUUUGAUUUAUAUCUCUUCGUUUUUGAACUAUUGUUUUGUUAGACUAGCUGCUGAUCGUUUUCUUAAAGAACAUUAAGUUUUGUAGUGUGAUAUGAUCCCAAAAAUAAAGAGGAUCAGUCCUUAAAGAAUUAAGUUACAGUUUUGUUUGAGUCUGAAGUUGAUGAACUAUGUCAAAAGCAAUAGAACUAAUAUAAAUGACUUCCUGUGGUGCUGCACAUUAAAGGUUGAAAGAGUGAUAGCUUUGUUUGCAUCUGAAACUUUGAUUCUUUAGAGCUUCAUUUGCAUCUGAAACUUGGAUUCUUCAAAGCUUCGUUUGCAUCUGAUGAAACUUGGACUCUUUAGAGGUUGAAAGGCUGAAAGAACUAAUGUAAAUGACUUCCUGUGGUGCUGCACAUUAAGUUACAUUUUCGUUUAAAGCAUUCUUUCAUCUUUUUCUAUCUGGUUCUCUGAUUUCUGUUUACUUGUAUCUCAGCUAUGCAUCCUCUUUUGCUAGUUUUUUUUUCUACUAAAAAUUCGAAUUGUUGAUUGUUUUCUUCUUAUAGCAUAAUGUAUAGUGUGUGCCUAAAGAAUCGAUCAUAUUUUUACGAUGAAAUUCACUCGAGCUAAUGAAAGAUGAAGUAAGACAUAUAACUUAUGCAAAUUACCUCUUGUAUAUGGUGUACAUAGUAGGUAGAAAUAACGAUAGUUUCAUAUAGGAUUCAAAACUUGGAAAACUCGAGAUUUUCAAGAAGAUAUGUUCUAGCAGUAGCACCAUAUUUUUUCCGUUCUUGUAAAACUGAAUCUCUAGUUGUUCUCGAUUUGUUCAUGUUUCAUGUAAGCCUCUUCUUUUGGGACCUGAUUUUUUCUUCUUCUAUAUAUUUGAUUUGUUCGAGUUACACUACUUGUUUGAUUUCAUCUGUGAAGCCAGUUUGUUAUUUGUAUUGUUCGAGUUAUAUCUCUUCUUUUUUGAACUUUUGUUCUGUUAGGCUAGCUGCUGAUCAUUUUCUUAAAGAACAUUAAGUUUUGUAGUGUGAUAUGAUCCCAAAAAAGAAGGGGAUCAGUCCUUAAAGAAUUAAGUUACAGUUUCGUUUGGGUCUGAAGUUGAUGAACUAUGUCAAAAGCAAUAGAACUAAUAUAAAUGACUUCCUGUGGUGCUGCACAUUAAAGGUUGAAAGAGUGAUAGCUUCGUUUGCAUAUGAAACUUUGAUUCUUUAAAGCUUUGUUUGCAUCUGAUGAAACUUGAAUUCUUUAAAGGUUGAAACAACUAAUGUAAAUGACUUCUUGUGGUGCUACACAUUAAGUAAAAGUUUGUGGCAUGAUAAGAUCCCAAAACGAAGUUGAUCAAUCCUAAGAGAAACAAAUGUUCCUAAGGAAACAAAACAGUGAACUACUCUUAAAUAGAGGCACUCACAGGUCAUGCAUUAAGACAAUGUUCGGAGAGAAGAUAUAUGAAUUUUUAUUCGACUCAAGAAAUCUAUUCAGAAUUACAAGUGAACGAAUGUUUACCUUUUAAUACUAACAGAGCACACUGUAAAGUGUCUUCAGUUAUUAAAUCUGAUCCAAAUAUAUAGGCACGUGCAACUAAUUCUUAAAAAGAUUUCUAUCUAACUAAAAUAAAUUAGUAAUUGCAAAAGGCACCAUUGAAUUAUUAUCUACUGUAAAUGGAUCAUAUUUUAGUGUUUUGUGUGUGUCUAAGGAAUCGAUCAUAUUUUCUUACAAUAAAAUUAACUCGAACUCACAAAAGAUGUAUAAAGCAACAGAAUUGAUACAAAUUACCUCAUGUGGUGCUGUACAUAGAAGGUAGAAAUAGUGAUAAUUCCAUUUGAGUUUCAAACUUACCAAACUUGAUAUCUUUCAAGAGAUACAUUCUUAUAGUUGCACCAUAUAUUCGGUCAUUCCUAUCAAACUCAAUCACAACAAAUUUAUCAAAAAUUUAUAAAAAUAUAUUGUAAUUAACUUUUAGAAGGUUAAAGAUGCAACUGACUUCUUACAGUUAUACUUCAUGUGAUUCCAUAUAUAGAAGGUAGAUACAAUGACACUUCUCUUUGGGUCCUUGAGAAAGAGAACACGGAACCCAAAUCCCCUUGUUCUACUCAUCAAGUUAUGCAAGUCUCCCAAACAACUGAAACAUGUAUGACAAUUUACAAAUCCAUUCACUAUCAAUCUGUUGAACUAAAUUUUAUUGCUACAGUUCUUACUAAAUUAUAAAACUAUAGGAUCAUCUAAUCCAAGAAAUGUAAAAAGAGUGCGAGGGAGCAACAAGUGUAAAGAAGUUGCAUCACUUGAAGCUGAAAAGAGGCUGAAAGUAACAUUUUACAAUAAUAGAACAGUUGGAACAAAUAGCAAUCUGUUUUCAAGGCACCUGGGAAAAAUAAUUUGUGACUGUAAUAUGUGUCCAUUGGGAGUACCAUCGUGGAGGGACAUUAAGCAACAAAAGUUGGAUCACAUGUGGGCAGCUAUUGAGGUACAAUUACGAAUUACAUCAUCAUUAUAUUUAUAUUCAGCUUUUUUGUGCUCUGUUAAUUAUUACAUGAAUCUAAUCAACUAACCAAAAAGAUAAAAAGAAGGAUAUCUACUAAGAAGAUACAUUGGUGUAACUACCAUCUGGUGUUUAACUUGAUGAAUUAGAACUUACUAUUCUUAUAUUUCCAACAUUAACCGUUGUUGCACAUAUUUUUCUUUCUCAAUUUUAUACAUAGUUUUUGUAUAGUUGACGCACAAUAUUCACUCUCCUUUUGUAGGAUAAAUUUGAGAGUGUUGACUUCAAUGAUCAUCGUGAUCAUAUAUUUGGAUGGAUGAAUGAGUUAUGGAACAAAUGGAGAGGAUACUUGCAUGCUACUUAUGUGAAGAAUAAGCCAAUUGCUCAGGCUCUUAAUAAUAUUCCAAAGGGAGUAGAAAAGAAGAAAUGGGAGUGGUUAGUUAAGGAACAUUUUUCUUCUGAAAGUUUUCAGGUAUACCUAGAGAUCUAAUAGCCUAUAUCUUUCAAGUAUCCAUUUUGCAACUCAUCGUGAUAUUUAGAUGUGAAACUAUCUCUAAACUUGGUAAUAUUUCUUAGAUAUGGCUUUUUAACGUACCAAUACAGGCGAGGAGCAAUAGAAAUGCAGAAAAUUGAGCUAUGUUAAAGAUGUUUCAUCACAUUGGUAGCAAGCCUAUUAGAGAGAUUAUUUAUCAGCAGGUAUUAUCGAAAAAUAAUUUUCCUAAAUAAAACGUUUAAGAAGUUCUAUUUGCGGAUAGUCGUUUAAGCAUUUAGUGUAUAGCUAAACUCUUAGAUGAUUGAUCGUGUUUAAAGGAAUUUCUUCACUUCUGAGGUUCUUUGUUGGUGAUUUAUUUUUUCUCUUAGCUGGUGGCUGUUUGAUCACCUAUAUAAGUUAGUUUUGUUUAGUGAGCUUUAUCACUUUUGCUGGCAGGACAAAAAUCUAUGACUAACUCCCUUCCUGCAUAAGUUAGGUUGAUUCUUCCUAACAUUUUAUCAAGAAGUGGAUGAGACAUUCAAUAAUUCUAUAUAUGAAUCUUUAUACAUAAGACUGGGAUAGUGCUGAUUUGUUGAUAAACAGAGUUGUUUUAUACAUUAUGUUUCGAGUUAUUUUCAUGUUUGUGUCGUUUCUUUCUAGACAGAAAUUGGAAACUGAUUUGCAUUGAGUUUUAGCCGUUUAGCAGCUACAACCGUAGUAAUAGAUACCACAUAUGAAAUGCUUCAGUUGUUCCGAGUUAUUUUAAUGUUUGUGUCGUUUCUUCUCUAGAAAAAAAUUGAAAAACAGAUACGCAUUCAGUUUUAGCCUUUUAGAUGUCUUGGAAAUUGUUGCUUCUUGUGUGCUAGCAUAUAUAAGUUAUAGAACCAUUACACUUGACCAUAUACAAAAUCUCUCGACCCGUAUAGACACUCAACCAUAUAUAAGUUCUGCUUUGUCCACUAAGAAUAAGAAUACAAGAUAUAAAUGGCAGGAAAGAAGUAACAACGCAUUGUAGCCUCAAAGUAACAACAUCCUAGCCAUAUACAAAAUGUCUCUCCCCCUAUAAGACUUAUCCUUUAUGAAUAGGCCUUUAUCGAUGCAAGAAGAACUUUGACAUCACUCUCAGGGUUAUUAAGAUAAUUUUUUGAUAUCUUUUGCUGUUGUACAUCAUGUUUUCCAUCCAUAUACAGAAUAUCUCAGCAUAAAGUCUAGCAAAACAGAGAUUUGAGUUGCACCUUCAUCUGGUUUAGAGGAUCAAGUAACUAGCUAAACCUGUAUCAUUAGAAUUGCUUAACAGAUCAUUGCCUUCUUUAUCUCUAUUUUUUAAUUUUCUACACGUACAAUUGCAGGCACACAGUUUGAGAUUGUUUGGCUUCUACAAGGAUUAAUGAUGAGAAGAAAAAAGUGAUAACUUGUUUGUUUCCCCUGCUACAAUAAUAACCUACUGGUUUAUAGCUGAAACAGUGAUAUACAUCAUACGUGUUUAGUUACUCUGCAACAACUUCUUUCCCCUAAAACCUAAUAUAAAUCUUCUUGGUGGAGAAUUUCUCCAUUUGUGCUAGCUUAUGUCACUGAAUUUGUGCUUUCGGUAUAGAUUUGGAUUCUUGGUGAAUGCAUCUCAUCAAAGUUUUCUUAAUCAAUUUUUCUUAUGUUGUUGCAGCUUGUUGAUAUUCUGGAUAUCCCUUGGUUAAUUUUAGAGUUCUUUUGUGAAGAAUGAAGCUCAAGUCAAGAUGCAAGUUUAGAAGAUGCACACGACCAUUAUUAUUUUGCUAGGAAAGUUGUGCAAGACAUGAAAUCAUAGUCUAGCUCGGGAUAUUGUUAAUUUGCUAAGAUUUUUUUUGUCAAACAAAUAUUGAAACUAACACCAUGGGAUAUUUACCUAUUUUUAUAUUUAUAUCAGCCUUUUCUCUAGAGAUUUACCAUAGCAAUCUUAUAUUUAUUGGUAGAACUUAUAAUACUUUUGUGAAAUGAGGAUCCAGAAUCAAUGGUGGACAAUUAGAGACCAAAAUUUUUGCUCGUCUCUAAAAGUUCAUCUAAGAUGAGAUAGUUUCUUGUCUCUAAAAGUUUCAUCUAGGAUGAGACAACUUCUUGUCCCUAGAGGCUCAUCUAGGACGAGGUGUUGCUUGUCUCGAAAAACAAUCUAGGACGACGUGGUUGCUUGUCAAGAAAAAGUAAUCUAGGAUGGGGUAGUUGAUCGUCCCUAAAGAGUAAUCUAGGACGAGUUAGUUUCUAGUCUCUACAGGGUUUAGUGACCAGAAAAUGACUAGUUUUUAAGGAAGAAAAUCAUCUAUUUGGGACGAGAUAUGUAGUCUUUAAAAGUACUUUGGUGACCAGCUUUGAUUCCGUCCCUAAGCACAUUUAGCGACCAGUUAAUGGAACCCGUCCCAAUUAACCUUUAGCGAAGAAGCAUUUUAGGACGGGUGGCGACCAGCCUUUUCCCGUCUCAAAAGACAAUUUGGGACCAGAUUUGGACAUUCUAGGACCAGAUUUCCCUUCCUUAGAGACUGUUUUUCUUGUAGUGACAAUAAGCUGAGAAGAAGUGCAACUCGGUAGAUCGUCGAGUCGAUCGAUGAUACCGAAAAAUGAAUUUAUACGUUCCCAAAAACUCAGCAUGGAAUCCACUCGGUGAAGCUAGUCGGGAUCACCGAUUGACUCGGCGAUCCGUCGAGUUGCACUUCUUCUCGCCUUAUUGUCUUGGCUCCUGCAUCCAAUUGUUCUGGAAUAUUAGGCGAGUCGGGUCAUGAUCACCGAUCCAUUCGGCACAUCAAUGAAUCUUCUUUUGCUCGCCAAGUUGGCUUUGUACAUGGGCUACUUCGCUGGAAAUUUUGUCGAGCUGGAGGCUUACUUGGCAAGUCGUCGAGUGGCUUUUGCGAGCUCCAUCUUUUCUUUUCUUCAGCUUUUCUAACUUUUUCGCUCCUUUUCGCAACAUAAUGACCUUGCAUUGUUCUUAAGCCUUCAUUGAUACAUAUAAACACAUUAACAUCAGUUAUGAGCACAAAAUAGGCCUUGAGGACACUAGUUCAUUGAAUAAUAAUUCCUAAAUGAGUUGAACUUCCCGACUCAUAAACACCCCCAACUUAAACUUUUGUUUAUCCUCAAGUAAAACAAAAGAUUGAUCAGGCCAAUAUGGAUGUCUACAAGUAGUGCUCUUGGGACUCAACAUGAAUGCACACAAGGUUCAAUCUACACAUGCACUGUUCAAUUGUGCACUGAAAGUUUCAAACCAUGACUAACACUCAUCAAAUAGAGUUCAAGCUCGCAAUGCUCACUUCAAAUGCAACUGCAUGCUCAACAAGAGUGUUCAAAUGUCUUCACAUCAACAAUGAUUUCACGCUUUCACAAAGCCAAUCAAAGAUUACGAUUAAGGAAUCAAAAUCAAUUCUCACACUCCCAAUGAGAAAAACGUGCACGAUUUUACCCAUAGGCCUUCCCAUAUUUUCCAACCAACACAUCAUUCGGCUCAUGCAAGAUCAAAAAGGUCUUUCAAGGCUUGUAAUUGGGCUGAGGGUACGAGUAUGAUCAUUUUGGCUUAGUGGCUUCUACCUUCACGAAGCAUGGCUCAAAUUUCACUUGUUCUCCUUUUCUUUCAUUCUUUUCACCUUCACAGCUCAUCCUUGGCAUAUUCAAAGCACACGAAAUUUUUGGUAUCGAUUAUUAGACACCCCUUUUAUUUCCACAACAUUACACACUUCAAAUUUUAUCAUUUCUUUGCUUUUUUUUCAUUUUUUUUAAAUGGAGAGGUUCCAUCAUUUUUAUACACAUUCCUUCAAGGAGGAAUUUUCAUGAACUUCUUGCUCUAUUUUCUUCCUUAUUCUUACCACACUCCCGACUUAGGCUUUUUGCCAAAGUUGGCUAUUCAAACAAACUAAUGCUUCAUGAAGGUUUUAGGUGGAGAGGAUAAGGUCAUUUGCGUUCAUGUUUCAUCCAAAAAAAGGUUAGUCUCAAAUGGUGCCAAGCUAGGUUCACACACUCACAAGGUUGUCACACAAAGGUAUAGCAAUUAGGUUCACUCUAAAUUUUUUAUGCAUAAGAUCAUUUCCUCCAUUCACCAAAAUUAGUCAAUCGGACCAACGGAGCAAGUUCUAGAUAACAUUGAUGUGAGGCCAAAAUACAUAUUUUUAAUCAUUAUUUGCCUCAUAUUUAGUAUUUAUAUUUGUCCUUUUUGAGUAUGAAUUUUAUGGAUUGUGCUUUAUAGUAUAUUUUAUUUGUAGGAUUAAAUUGGUGGAAAAUGAAGAAGUUUGGAGCUAAAACCAAUUAAAGAUGGAAGGUUAAAGAAGAAAAUCAAACAGGCAGCUUAAUGGAUUAAAUUAAAUAUAAUAAUAAUAAUAAUAUAUAUAUAUAUAAGUGCAGCGAAGAGAAAUUCACUCAGUAUAACACUGCUGCCACGUGGCAACCAGUAAAGGCAGCAGCAACCCAUGGCAGCGCAACACUGUUUCACACGGAAUUAAAUUCCUUUUAGGUUUUGGGUUCCUAAUUUAUUUUGGACUCAAUUAUUUUAUUCAGAGUUUUCUAUAUUUAUAAAUAGUCCAUAAGAAUAAUUAUUAAUUUAUUAAGGGAGGAUGAUACAAUAUAGAAAAUAAUUUUUGAUUUAGGGUUUUAUCUUUUCUUCUCUUUUAUUUAUUUUACAUCUUUUCUUGGAAUAAUUCGUUGUAAUUGCUCUAUAUCUAUGUGGAGUUAAACUUCUCGUUCUUGGAUUAUAUUUUCUUACAAAAUGAUUGUUUAGUAAUUUUGAUUCUGCAUAAUUGUUUAUCAUAUUGGUUGUUCUAGUCUUGUGGUUACUAUUUCCAUGCUUGAUCAUAGAGAUAAAUAUAUUGUCUACUCUUGAACUUGGGAGAGGAAUGGAGGGAUAGAAUGUGGAAUAUAAGGAGCAUAAUCUUUUCUUGCAUAUCACUUGAAUUGAUUUGUGUCUAGGAUAGGGAUAUACCUAGGUACCUUGCUUGGCUCAUACGGAAAGACAACGUAAUGCUCCAUAGUUGGUUCAGUCUAUCCCCGCUCAACGAUGUAGUUAGACUGUCAAUUGUGGUAGACGGUUAGAGGUCGGGAGAUCAUGACUAUAUUAUCAACCCCGUGAAUCAAUAACUAGAUAAUAAAAUAAGUUGAUGAAAUUGAUGCUAAGCAUGAUUGUUAGUUAAAUCAUAAUCCUAGAUCGAUUCAUUCAUUGAUUGUGUAAACAUCAAUUUUUUCUUAGUUAAUUACUUUUUAGUUAUUUUAUCUUUAUUUUUAGUUUAGUUAAUAUAUAUUCGUCUUUUGAAAUCCUCCCUUAAAUAAAUAAUUAAUAUAAUUAAUAAGAAUAAUUAAUUGACAAGUCCUUUGGGUUCGAUAAUCCGAUUCUUUUAAGAGCCACUAUAUUACUUGCACGACACGUACACUUACGUGUGCAAUUGGUAGCAACAAGUUUUUGGCGCCGCUGCCGGGGACUUAGAAUUAAUUGUUUUUCUAGGUUAAACUUUUUCUUUUUAUUUAUUUAAGUUUUUUAUAGAAAAAAAAAACAAAAAGAAAAAAAAAAUUCUUAUGUUAUACUUUUUUAUUAGUGUCACUUUUUUUCUUUCGAUCUUGUUUUUGUAGAUGAGGGGAAAUCUAAGUACCCAAGAAUUUGAAGCAAAGUAGCAUGUUUGAGCUUAAGUGUGGGGUGCGUACGACCCUUGAUGGAAAAAAAAAGAUUGAAGAGAACAUGCAACUAUCUAGGCCUAGAGGCCUCAGGGAGUUCUUUCUUUCAUUCUUAGCUUGUGUAUUGAAUUGUUGCACUGGGGACAGUGCCAUGUUUUAAGUGUGGGUGGGGGAAUGAAUUCCUUGUUUUUACUGCUUUAUUGAGUCUUUUCAUUUUUUUAGGAUGGGUUCCUUGGCUUUUGUUUUCGGUUCUUUUUCUGAGGAUAGUCCUUUUGAACCGAGUGUCUUUUAUUUUUUAGGAAUAAGUUUUCUUUUAAUUUAUUUUUUUGAGAGAAAAGAAAAGACCCUUUUGAUGGUGUGAUACUUGCUAUUUAGGACUAAUUUUUGAGUAGUACUUUCUUGGGAAUGCUUGAUUGAUAAGGAAAUUGCAGACUCUUUAACACCUAAACUCAUGGUUGUGACUUUGUAUAUAGCUUAUUUUAUUUUGUAGUUUGUUAUGAUUCUUUCUCUCUUAGAAGUGGAAUUGAUCCAUCUUGAUUGAUACUUGUGCCAUGUGUGGAGAGAAUUUGUAUUUUCUAUGUUUUAUAUCUUAAUCUAGAACUUUCCCUGCAUGUUAUUGAAGAGAAAUAAAAAGUGUUGCUUUGUUUAGGAGAUCAUAAUAGGCUUUCUUUGUUUUGUCUUGUAACUUUUAGCCUUUUUAGAUACAUAUCACUAGUAGCCCCUUUGAGCCUGUAGUUUUUUAUCGGUAGCCAUAUUUUUGCCUUGACUUUUUGUUGGAAUCCCUAGUUUUUGCACCCUGCUUCCUUGAGCACUGUAGCAGACUUAUUAUAUUUGUUAAAUCUGAAGAAAAAUGGAUGGUUGAGUGAAAAAAGUAAUCAAUGAUAGCUACAAAGUGAUUAAAAAGCCCUCUUUGAAAGAAUGUGACAUGAAAAAGAAAAAAGAAAAAAAAAGAGAAAAACAAAAUUAAAAAAAAAAUAUUCUUUGGAAAAAAAAUGAUUGAAGCAAAAAAAACGCUCUCUUCUCUCUUAUGCAAACCCUAACCCAAAUCUCCCAGCAACACCUAUGGCCACUCCGGCCACUGGCAAGUCGUCUUUGGCGACUGGUCAGACAGUCCCUUUAACGUUCAAUGAACACUUCCCCAACCUUACUCAUAUAACACGUCUAUCCAAUCCCAAUUGUGGCAUUAAGGAUCCUAAUACUCUGCCUAGCGAACAUGUCGUGCAUAAUGAUGAUACAAUCAGAUUUAAGGAAGGAGAGUAUGCAGCUUUGGUAAAACCUAGUGGUAUGAAUGCAGUUGAUUCAAACAAAGGACUACCAGCAGUACCUUUGAAAAAACCUACGUUUAACAAUGGUAUUCCUCGGGUUACUUGGAAAGAGGAAGAAGUAACACGUAUGAACAUUAUGGAGAAUCUACAAUAUGCUGUGAUAGGAAAGUUCUCUUAUGGGUGGUCUGAGCUAGAUGAGUUGAGAAGGAUUAUCCCUAAACAAUGCAAUAUAAAAGGAGCAUGUCAAAUAGGUUUGCUGCGACUUAGGCAUGUUUUGAUGAUAUUCGAAUUGUUUGAAGACUUUGUGAACAUGAUGUCCAAACCUUCCUAUUACAUUACUGAUAAUGCAGGAUUAUACUAUCCAAUGGGACCCUUGAUUUAUGAUGAGAAGUUCAGAGUUGAUGAAGAAAAAUCAUAGGCUAUGGCAUGGAAAUCCUUCCCUGAUCUUUGGCUUAUUUUUUUUUGGGAGAGAACCUAUUUUUUCAUUUGCAUCAGCAGUGGGUAAACCAAUUCAGUUAGAGACAGCUACUAUCAACAAAACUAGACCUAGUUGUGCUAGGGUUUAAGUCCAACUAGACUUAAGUUAGGUGAUCUUCCUAAGUUUGUGGAAUUGGAGAUUGAGAAUGAAGAGAAAACCUCGUCAAGGGUGGAAAAGGUGAAAGUGGUUUAUGAUAUGCUCCCUAAAUAUUGUAAAAGAUGCAAAUUACAAGGACAUAAUGAGGAAGAAUGUAGAAUCCUACAUCCUGAAUUGAGAAAGCAAGAACAUAAUGCAAAUAUGGAAUUGAAGGACAAAGAAUUGAGCAAACCAUCAAGGUUCCUUAAAAAACAAUGGAACCCUACUAAUAGAAGAUUCAUCAGAAACACUGAUAAGGAGGUUACUACUGCAGGCAUGGAACUAGAGACGGAUGUUAUUGUGAGUAACAACUCAUUUACUGCUCUUAAUGAAGAACAAGAUGAAGGAGAAAAAAAUAAAGGGGAGGGCGGGGGGGGGGGGGGGGAAAUGAAUACAAAAGAAUGGAUUACAAAUUCUUUCUACAAAAAUACAAACACAGUAGGUGAUCAAGCUAUAAAUAACAGUGCAACAAAUAUCAUGGCAGGGGUGAUGAAGUCCAACAAUGUGCUGCCUUCUCAAGAGCCUGAGGAUCAAGAUAAAGCUCUGGUUAUUCAUACACACCUGCAGAAUACAGAGAAGGUCAACAAUGAUAAUGAAGAUCAACUUGAUGAAUGUAUACAAAGGAAUGUAGUAAGUGAGGAACAAAUUAAUAUUACUGAAACAUGUUUUCAGGAAGCUGGGGCUUUGGAUAAAGCAUUAGUAAUUCACAAGGACCAUCAGGUCUUACAUGGGGACAUGUUAGGAGGACAUGAUGAUGUGGUUUUAGAUAUGGUGGAGUUUGAGGAGGAUCCUCUUCUGUGUUCUGAGGAGGUAGGUAACAUGUGCAGUUCAGCCAAUAGAGAGAAGCUCCUUACAGGUUGCUCACUUGGCAGUCAAGAGCAAAUGCACAAUGUUAGGAGUGUAAGAGAAGUUCAUAAUGCAGUAGUCAAUUUUUCAGGGGCAAUCAAACAAAGUUCUCCUAUUAAAGAAUUACAUGGCUUGGUUUCUCAUAAAACAACAUAUAAAGAAAGCAAAAUGGUCUAGUGAUAGACAGGGAUGAAGUUGAAAAUCAAAGUGAUCAUGCACAAGUUAUAAAUAAUGCAGGAGGUUCCCCUCAAGGGAAAUCAAAGAAGAAGAAGAGUAAGCCUCAAGGGGAAAAGUCUACUAGGACUAACCCUAUGUGGUCUGAUAGAGCUAUGUUGAAAUGAUCUUUAUAGCAUUAAUAUGGAAUAUUAGAUCAGUUAGAUCUAAUCAUUCUUUCCAUAGAGUAUAAAUGCUUCAUAGACAUCAUAAAUUUGAUUUGGUUGCCUUAAUGGAACCUUUUCAAGAGAUUAGGAAGAUUCAACAGUUUAAAAGGAGAUUAGGCAUGGCCUAUGCAAAUUAUAACAUCAAUGGGAAGAUUUGGUUGUUUGUCAAGGAGGAUAUUCAGGUGAACGUUGUUUCUGAUUCUGAACAACAAUUGACUAUUGAAAUGCUAUUCCCUAGUGGGCAUCAGAUGGUCAAUACUCUUGUCUAUGCUAAAUGUACAGCUGCUGAAAGACUUCCAUUGUGGGAGGAUAUGUAUGCAAUUGGGCAAAAUAUGAAUUUCCCCUGGUUUGUUGGAGGGGACUUUAAUGUUAUUAUGGAUGCAGAAGAAAAGAUAGGUGGUCUACCUGUCUAUCCAAAUGAGGUGGAGGAUGUGCUUUUUGUAUCAAUUUUUGUGAACUAUUUGAUAUUAAAUUCAAAGGUAGCCCUUUCACUUGGUGGAAUGGGAGGUCUGAUGGUGAAUAUAUUUUUAAAAGAUAGGUGGUCUACCAGUCUAUCCCACUACACUAUUUAACAGUUUAUUUUAAAGGUAUAUAUGUGCCCACGUGGACACGUUACUAUUUAUAAUUAUAAAAUGUUUAUGAUGUCCACGUGAGCACAUAUAUAUACCUUUAAAAUACACUAUUAAAUAGCUUAGGGGGGUAAAAGGUCCUUUUCAAAGUUUGGUAUCGUUACAACAAUUUCGGUCAAAGUUUUGAUAUAUUUCAGACCUUUUUCCCUAUUUUUUUAGAAGAUCUCAAAUAAUUCCCCUUCAUUUUUUAGAAAAAAAUAAUUAAAUAUGAACAAUUAAUGUGAAAACCAAAUGAACAAAAAUAUGAUUCAAAAUAAAUAAGAAUACAUUUAAGCAAAUGAAUCUAUAUUGAGUCGUAAUUUUCAAAUUAAACUAACAAAAAUUUUACAUUUCAUUUUACCCUUGAACUUUGCGAAACAAAUCAAAUGUACCCUAUGUGAAUUGUAUUCUUAUAGUAAUAAUUAAAAAAAUUAAAUUAAGUUUUCACUUUUGUCAGCCUAAAGAGAUAUAUUUGAGUCAUUUUUUAAUAAUAAGGAUAUAUGUAAGCCGUUAUUUUUAAACCAAAUGGUAUAUCAAUUUUAAAUUUCAAGGUUAAAAAAUAAUUAGACCCUUGUUUCUUUAUUAUUAUUAUUGUUUUAUUUUUUAAAUUCUUAUUGUUAUUAUCAAGGCCUAAACCCUAAACCACGCUUGGAGUAUUUCUCAGGCUUUCACCUUUGAGGUUUUCUGAGGCUAUGAAUGAGGAUGCCCACGUGUUUUUGACUACUUGCCGGGAGCAGCUUUAUACAUUUGGGACUGGUGGAGUCGAGAGAAGCCAACUUCACUACUUAUCAGUUAGAUGGGCCAACCAUACAGUCUUGACAUACCUUCAUUCAAACUAGACCAGUUCAUUCCCUUUGGUCAGGUCACUUGGACCGAGUUUUUUUAGGCCUUUUUGGCUAGGUUCAUUCCUUGCAGUGUUAGAGAAAUCACCUCUGGGAUCAUUUCUCUAGGCUGGAGCAGGCUCUCCAUGAUUGUGUUAGAGUAUAAGGCAAGGUUCCACGAGCUCUCUCGCCAUGCCAUUAUGAUUUUACCUAUUGAGGACAAGGAGAGAGUUUGAUGUUGUAUGUGGAUUGAGGUUCCAGCUACGGAUUGAGCCUCAAUCUAUGAUCUCUGGUAUUGUUCCUUUUUGGAGAUUGUCGAUCACGCCCUCACUAUUGAGCAGCGUGAGGCCCAAGGGGGCAGCGACAAGAGAGCUAGAUACGAGGGCAGCUACAACAGAUCAUGUUCCAGGUCCAGAGACACAUAUGAUAGGAUUCUACAGUCACGUAGGCCUAUCUAGGCCUCAUUAAAGAUUUCAAAGGGUGACUGGUAUAGCCGGAGUGAGGUCGGCUCCAGUCAGAGACAUGAGUCCCAUUCUUGUGCUUCAGACUGUGGUGGACGUUCUUCUAGGAGUCGAUCAUCCCCAAGUUAUUUUGAUUGUGGAGAGUUGGAUCACUGGGACAUAUAUUACCCUUUGCGUAGGCAGAUUACUUUUGCUCCACAGGUAGCUCCACCAGUAGCACCUACAACUAGGGUUGAGGUCAGUGUAAACACCUAAGUUUAAACUGAACCCAAGAUUUUACACCAUUUUAUUACUUAAAUGAUUUCUUGUAGGUUAAAAUUUAAUUAUCUAAAGUUUUACUUCUUCCUAGUGAAUUUAUUUUAAAUUGUUGAAAACUACAAAAUAGAAUCCCUUUUAAGGAUACAUUUGUUUUUAAUAUUAUUAUUAUUAUUUUAAAAGAAAGAAAACCUACCAAUAUAUAUACACGUCUUUCAAUUAAAUAUUAUAGUCAGUUAAUACUUUUAAUUGAUUUUAAAAUUUAUUACUUUAAGAAGAAAAUAAAGAAGAAGAACAAAAAGAAAGAAAAAAAAAGAACAUACAAAAAGAACAAUUUUUUUUUUAAAAAGGGAAAAAGUAAUAAAGGGGAAAAGAGGAAGAAACCAAAACGUGUAAAAUAAUAAAGAAAAAAAAUAAAACAAAAUGUUCAGUAAAAGAAGGGAAAAAAUGCAAAAAAUAAAAAAUGAGAAAAGAAAGAAAAAGAUAAAAGGGAAAAAUCUUUCUAAAAAAUAGUCCUAAUCCCUUUAGAAUUUUCAUACAAAACUAAUCCCAAAUUCCAUAAAAAUUUAUCUCCAAUUUUAAAUCCAACUCAAAAGACAAUCCUAAAAUUACUCAAACUCUAAAAUCUCACUCCUACACAAUCCCUAAAUUUUAGCAACUAGAUGCCUAUAUAUACUCUACCCACAAGACAAUUCAAGAGACAAAUUCAAAUACAACAAACACGCAUAAACCACAACAACAAAAAAAAUCUUCCUUUAUUUACCUUUUUUUAAAAGAAAAGAAUUUGAGAAUUAGUGAUAUCAAGUUUGAGUCCUUGUUUGAGUUUUCAUGUGCGGUUCUUGAUUCAAGAAAAUAUCUACGAAAGUUCAAGAUUAAAAUUUGUUAAGGUCCAUCUCAUGACCUUACUCUAUUUUGUUUGAACUAAGUUGCAUGCUCAUACAUAAUAUUUUUUUAGUAUAUAAUAUAUGAUCGCUUGACCUUCGUGGAGGAGCAAGUUGCCAUUCUUGCCAGGUGUGACACUUGCACUUGAGAGCCAUUCCUAUGGUUAAGGUCCGUUGGAGGCAUCGUCCAAUUGAGGAGGCUACCUGGGAGAUCGAGCACGAUAUGCGGGAGCAGUUUCUUGGCUUUUUGAGCCUUCUAGUACUUCUUGACUCUUAGUUUCGCGGACUACCAAUGUUGUAAUGACCUUCAGGUCAUUUUUGUGUUUACGACUCAUGUUCGCCGUUUAGAGCAUUCUUGUAGCGACCCCAAGUCAUUUAUGACUUGCUGGGACUGAUAGUUUGGUCACCUGGUCGUUCGCUUAUUUUUUAUCUGAGUUUUAGUCAGUGUUAUGAAAGGCGCUCGCCAUUUCGCCAAAGGCGAGAGGCGAGGCGAGGCCUCAUCGCCUAUUAUAGGAGCGGCGAUGCGAUUUCAGAAAGACGAGAAAUGGCGAUAGAAAGGCGAGAGGCGAUAUGGCAAGGCGGGGCACCAUGCGUCGCCUGUUUGUUUUUUUUUGUUUUUAAAAAGGUCAGAUUUAAUAAUUAAAAGGUAAAAUUAGGGUUUUUUUUUGGUGUUUUUGCAAACCUGGGCUCCUCUUCUCUUUAUUGUGACUUGCACGAUCUCUUCUCCUCUUCCAUCGCGACUCUCUAGCCUUCGAGAGGACGAGACCUUCGCUGCUACUCAGUCCUCUGCGUCGCGAGUCGCGACUCUCAGGUACAAUCUUCUUUUUUUUUUUCCUUCUUUAGUUGUUCUCUUGUUCUCUACUCUGUUUUUCAAACAGUGGUGCAUGGCUCCGUUUUUCUUUUUCAAUUUGUAGCUAAUGAACUGACUGCCAUUCUGUUUCUGCCUAUAUUAUUUUUAAAAAAAAAUUCAAUCCUUCUAUAUUUAUUUUUUCACUACUCAAUUUAGUUUUAUAUUUAUUUUUUCACUAUUCAAUUUAGUUUUAUACUAAUUAAUGUAAUAUUUGUUUGUCCAUAAAUAGUGAAUUCAACGACGUCUGAUGGUAACAAAAAGGACAUUGGUGUAUUGCGCCUCAAUUGUCUUAUGAAUUAUUGAGUCAUUCAAGUUCUAGACUUUUAACAUCUACUAUUAAUUUUACAAUUGAAAUAUGCUAAUGAAUGUUAUUGCUAUUGAAAUUUUGGAUAUUUAUAUAUGCCCUUGUCGCCUUUCGCCGUCCAAAACACUGGUUUUAAUGUUUUGGAGCUUUUGAACCUUGAACGGUCAGUUUUGAUCAAAAUUCAAGAAGAUGACCUCACAAUCCAAUUUUGACGAUUCCAUCACCUCUGAAAGGGUCAUUUUAGGUUAGUAGCAUGGUCGGCAUGAAUUUUGAAGCUUUCCGUGGGAGUCUGUGCGAUUAGGCAUUUUAACUUUCAAGUUAAGACUUAAGUUUGACUUUAGUUAACAUUCUGAGUAAACGAGUUCGGAUGAGAAUUCUUUCAAUGCGGUUAGCUCUGAAAUGUUGAAUUUGGACUAGAACAGCCUUUCAUUUGGAUCCCGAGGUUUCCAGGCAUAUUCCGAACCCCCUUGUGGAUUUUGGCUUAAAAUGGAGUUUGGGUGUGGGACCCACUUUUUGCUGAGAUAACCUCGUAUGGGAUUUUCGACUGCUCGAUUGAGUCCGGAAUAUCAAAUUUUGGUAGGGUUGCAUAUUUCGUUUGCAUGCAGGGGGAUUCAAAUAAAUUCAGAGUUUAAGCAAACUAGCUGAAGUGUUGAUAUCUGGUGCAAGCUUUUAGCGACCAAAAUUGGACUUUUAGCGACCAGAUCAAGGAUAUUUAUAUUGCGAACUUGCAGCCUUAUUUUUUAUUUUCAAAAGGCGAUUUCCCCUCAUUCGAGCUCCAGAUUGAGUGAUUCAUAGUCUUGUGUGACCGUUAAGAGCGUGGCUACUUGAGUUUCUGACUAGAAUCUGUUGAGGAACCUCAUCGCUUCCUCAUUUCUUGAUUUUUUUUUUCCCUAUAAAGAAACUCUCUCUAAAAAAUUCUCUUUGAAGGAGACACACUACCAGUUCUGCCGGAAUGGCUGCAUAACCGCCGGUGGAGCCUUGCCGACCGCCAGACCUAUGACAAAAGAUGGACAACAGCACCACGCACAAAACCCAACUGGAAUCACCUGCUAAUUCCUUUCCUAGCUCUAUGAAUCUGAGAAAUAGUGUCGCAAUCCUUGUUCAAGUUUCGAAAGAAGAGAUACUUUGGGCACAAAAAAAUAUUUCCAUGUCGCAAGCUGGGUUGAUUCAUCUAGUUACGAUAGAUGGAGAUGAAUUCCCCCAUAAGGAUCUACAUACAAAGAUUCAGCCAAUUCCACCUUGCCAAUCCCGAGUUCUAGCAUAGCGAUUUCGGGGGAAAUGCGAUGGAAUCGCCUGAGCUGCGCACUAGAUUUCGAACUGAUUCCAAGGGGAUAAACAACAAAUUAAGCACAAGGGAGGAUUCACCAGGUCAAGGCGCAUCUAAAGAUGUAAUGGUAGCCAAUUGCAACGGCGAUGAAAGUCUCACCGGAAUUUUUGUUGAAGAUGUCGGAGCUCCAGUGAGCCAAGAGUUUCAAACCCAACAUCAAAAUGAUCAGGAAAGGGAGAUACACCACCCCACCUCUAAAAUCUCAAGUGUGGAUGCAUUCUACGAAUCAAACAAGGGGAUCAUAAUCCCUGAAGAACAAUAAAGGACAAAUUUGGACAAGGAAGUUCAGGUCACCGAGCUAAAUGAUUCACAUAGUGAUAUGAGACAGCUAAAUGAUCAAAAUAGGAAUUCUAAUAGAGAACAAAUUGAGGAAGCUCAAAGCUUCUCAAAAUUUUCCUUUAGAGUAGCUAAACGUGAUCUUGCAGAUAAAGAAGCACCUCGAGGGAGUCAACAUGGUAAGAACAGUGAGGGGAACAAUGAAGAACAAGGCUGGAAUCAACAAAAGGAAAAUAAGUUUCCCUCCACCCCUGUUCAGCAAAUGCGUAGCAACCAAGAAAUCUGAGCUUGUCCCUGAACCUGAUCCAUUUACAGUCGUUCAGUCUUAUGCUACCAGGUUAAGAGCCAACCAAGCCAAGAAUGAAGUUCCCAUUGAGCUAUCUAUCCCUAAAAUCAUAACUAGACAAGGUCUUCCUGCAGUUAUCAUCAAAAAGGAAGAUUACAUGGUAAAUCUAGAAGCUAGAUAUAGAUUUACUUUAGUGGGAAAAUUCACCAACACUAUGCCUAAAAUUGAGCUUAUUCGCAAAAGCUUCAUCCUCCAAACUCAAUUAACUGGAGGAGUCAAGAUAGCUCAUUUCAAUGCAAGGCACAUUUAUAUUGAUCUUGAUAAUGAGGAGGACCAUGUCUCUGUAUGGAACAAACAGAAAAUGUAAAUUGAAAGGCAACUAAUGAGACUGCAAGUCUGGACUCCUACCUUUACUCUGGAAGAAGAAACUCCCAUUGUUCCUGUAUGGAUUACACUUCCUGAGUUGCCUUGGCAUUAAUAUAACAAGGAAUUUAUCACAGCCUUAGUAUCUCCUAUUGGUAAGACCUUAUACUUAUAUGCAACAUCUCUCCAGAAAACUAGAGGAAAUGUCGCAAAAGUAAGAUUACAAAUGGAUGUUACCAAGGAAAGACCCCCCCCCCCNNNNNNNNNNNNNNNNNNNNNNNNNNNNNNNNNNNNNNNNNNNNNNNNNNNNNNNNNNNNNNNNNNNNGCACAACAUUGGGUGUUACCAAAGGAAACCCCCCCCCCCCCCCAAUGUUUGGAUGGGAUUUGAUGAAGAGGACUUCACUAUUGGGAAAUGGCAAGCUAUUCAAUAUGAGGGACACCCUGAUUGUUGUUCCUAUUGCAAACAUUAAGGCCACUUGCUCCAUGUGUGCAAAAUCAAGCUAGGGGAUGAAGACAAUAAGAGGAGAAAAGAAGCUGAAGCUGAAAACAAAACCAAAAACAAAAGAGCUGAUCCAACCACUAAUCAGGUAUCUUCUAAUCUAAAUGAUACUCAAUUAAUGCUAAUCUAGCCUGUACUAGUAAUGAAGGUGCCAAGGACAACCAUCAGCAAUUGAAUAAAAAUAUGAAGAACAACAAAUUGAGGACUGGCAAACUCAAAGAAGAAAACUUAAAAAUCAAGCCAAAAAAUGAUCUACAGAACAAGGUUGAUAAACCUAUUUCUCUAAGAUAUUAGCAAAAUAAUGACCUGUAAACUCACAACGUUUCACAAUCAGGUAUUGAGUCAAUGCUCCCCCAACUCCAACUCCUUAAUCAACAGCAAAUCAAGCAUUGCAAGGACCAGGUAUUGACUCAAUGCUCCAACAACCCCAACACCCCCAACACCCCCAUAGUAAUGCUUUUGUUGUAAUAACUGAUUCUGAAGUUUUGGGAGGUGAAGAUGGGGGAUUGAAGGAGAACAUCACUAACCUGAAGGAAGGGGAUCCAAAGAGGAGGGAUUUGUCUCGUGUUCUGCAUGAGAACCUUAGUGCCCCCGCUACCACAGUUCAGUGUCCAAUCAAUGUGAUAGAUUGAGUCUUUAUUAUAUCAGAUAGGGGUGCUCAAUUCACUUCAAGCUUUUGGAGGACUUUUCAUGAUGAGUUAGGCACUCGUGUUGACCUUAAUACAACUUUUCACCAGCAGAAUGAUGGUCAGUUGGAGCGUACUAUUUAGGUCCUUGAAGAUAUAUUGCUGGUUUGUGUCUUAGAGUUUAGAGGUCAGUAGGACCAGUUCUUGCCUUUGGCGGAGUUUGCGUACAACAACAGCUACCAUUCUAGCAUUUAGAUGAACCCGUUUGAGCUUUUAUAUGGUAGGAGUUGUCGCUCUCCAGUUGGUUAGUUUUAAACUACACAACCUAGACCAUGUGGCACAGACUUGAUUCAGGAGGCUUUGGAGCAGGUGAGGGUGAUUCAGGAUAGACUUCGGGCAGCUCAGAGUAAGCACAUGAGUUAUGCGGAUCGUAGGCGGCCUCCUUAGGGAUUCUAUGUUGGUGAUAGAGUCUUCCUCCGUGUGUUAUCCAUGAAAGGCGUGAUGAGAUUUGGGAGGUGAGGAAAGCUUAGCCCUAUGUAUAUUGGGCCUUUUGAGAUCCUUCGGACUGUUGGAGAAGUUUCCUAUGAGUUAGCUAUGCCUUCGAUGUUCUUAGUUAUCCACCCAGUUUUCCAUGUGUCGAUGCUGCACCGGUAUGUUCACGAAGAGUCUCAUAUGCUUCAGUAUGAUGCAAUACAGUUGGAUGAUCGCUUGAUCUUCGUGGAGGAGCCAGUUGCCAUUCUUGCCAGAGAUGUGUGACACUUGCGCUUGAGAGCAAUUCCUAUGGUUAAGGUCCGUUGGAGGCAUCGUCCAGUUGAGAAGGCUACCUGGGAGACCGAGCAUGAUAUGCGGGAGUAGUUUUUUCUGGCUUUUUUGAGCCUUCAAGUGCUUCUUGACUCUUACGAAGCGGACAAAAGUCUUUUUUUGUAGUGGAUGUUGUAAUGACCUUCAGGUCAUUUCAGUGUUUACGACACAUGUUCGUCGUUUAGAGCAUUCCUGUAGCGAUCCCAAUUCAUUUAUGACUUUCUGGGACUGAUAGUUCGGUCACCUGGUCGUUCGUUUAGUUUUUAUCUGAGUUUUAGUGUUUUGGAGCUUUUGAACCUUGAACGGUCAGUUUUGAUCAAAAUUCAAGAAGAUGACCUCAAAAUCCAAUUAUGACGAUUCUAUCAGCUCUGAAAGGGUCAUUUUAGGUAGGUAGAAUCGUCGGCAUGACUUCCAAAGCUUUCAGUGCGAGUCUGUGCGAUUAGGGGUUUUAACUUUCAAGUUAAGGCCUAAGUUUGACUUUAGUCAACAUUCUGAGUAAACGAGCUCGAAUGAGAAUUUCGUCAUUGCGGUUAGCUCCGAAAUGUUUAAUUUGGUCAGAAGCAGCCCUUCGUUUGGAUCCUGAGGCUUCCGAGCAUAUUCUGAGCCCCCUUGUUGAUUUUGGCUUAAAAUGGAGUUUGGGUGUGGGACCCACUUCUUGCCGAGAUGACCUCGUAUGGGAAUUUGGACUGUUCCGUUGAGUCCAGAAUAUCAAAUUUGGUAGGGUUGCAUAUAUCUUUUGCAUGCACAGGGUUUUGAACGAAUUCAGAGCACCCAAUUGGAGAAUUCGGAGUUUAAGCAAACUAGCUGAAGUGCUGGUAUCUGGUGCAGGCUUUUAGCGACCAGAAAUCAAACUUUUAGCGAUUAUAAUUGAACUUUUAGCGACUAGAUCUCGGCUAUUUAUAUAGCGAAUUUGUAGCCUCAUUUCUUAUUUUCAAAGGGCAAUUUCUCCCUCAUCCGAGAUCCAAUUUGAGUGAUUCAUAGUCAUGUGUGAUCGUUGAGAGCGCGGCUACUUGGGUUUGUGAUUAGAAUCUGAUGAGGAAUCCCAUUGCUUCCUCAUUUCUUGAAUUUUUUCUCCCUAAAAAAACUCUCUAAAAUAUUUUCUCUGAAGGAGACACUACCAUUUCUGCCGGAAUUUUUGUUGAAGAUACCGCAGUUCCGGUGAGGCAAGAGUUUCAAACCCAACAUCAAAAUUAUCAGGAAAGGGAGAUACACCACCCCACCUCUAAAAUCUCAAGUAUGAAUGCAUUCUACAUAUCAAACAAGGGGAUAUGAGACAACUGAAUGAUCAAAAGAGGAAUUCUAAUAGAGAACAAAUUGAGGAAGCUCAAAGCUCCUCGAAUUUUUCCUUUAGAGCAGCUAAACGUGAUCUUGCAGAUGAAGAAGUACCUCGAGGGAGUCAACAUGGUAAGAACACUGAGGGGAACAAUAAAGAACAAGGCUGGAAUCAACGAAAGGAAAAGAAGUUGCCCUCCACCCCCUGUUCAACAAAUGCCCAUCAACGAAGGAAUCAAAGGUAAGUAUUCUAACACUUCUUCAAGUCCUAUGCUUUUAACUCAAUAGGUGUAGUUGAUACGUAAAUGCAAGUCAUUGCAAGUGAGCAAAAUUGUGAACAACUAACUUCAUAUAUGCAGAAUAGUGAUCAAGGGACUAACACUUCUGAUAUACCUCCCUCAAAUAAGCCCAAAAACAAUGAAAAUACCAAGGAUCAUGAUAAUAGUCAUCAGUCUCAAAAACUUCCCACAUCCACCCCUCAUGACCUCAAUAAACUCACUUCCAAUUUUGAGAAACAUACUCCUAACCUUCAGAAUAAACAGCAUGUGCAUCCAGAAAACUCCCACAGAAACACCAAUCAUGUGACUUUGUCCAAUACCUACAAAUGGAUGUUACCAAGGAAAGACCCCCCCCCCUUCCCCAUGUUUGGAUUGGAUUUGAUGAAGAGUACUUUACUAUUGGUAAAUAACAAGCUAUUCAAUAUGAGGGGCUCCCUGAUUAUUGUUCUUAUUGCAAACAUCAAGGUUGUUCCAUGUGUGAAAAUCAAGCCAAGGGAUGAAGACAAAAAGAGGAGAAAGGAAGUUGAAAACAAGAUCCAUCUAAACCUUCUAGUUCCACCAACACCCCGCCCCUCCCCGCGGCAGACCAAACACCAGGUUCUAUAUUCAUCAAAAAAUUUCCAAUGACUAGUACAAUUAUUUGGAAUGCUAGGAGUAUCAAUACCCAAGGUGCAAUGGAAAGAAUCAAAUCUCUCAAAAAGAUCCAUCAUACAUUAAUUAUUUCUCAUUUGGUUGUUUUGGUCUCAGGAUGUGGAUUGUAACAUUAUUGACAAUGAUGAGACCCUCCACGGUCCAUUAAGGUGCUCGUGGUAGGUUUCCAGCCCCAUGCAGGCUUUACUUUGACGGACGCCUAGACAGCCCGUGGUGAGGUUGACGGGCCAUCAAAGUAGGUCGUCAAGUGGGUCAAGUUAGUAAGGGUCCUCCCCUAGCUACUCGUUAAGGGCCACGGGCAUCACAACGGCCCGUGAAGCCCCACAUGGACCGUGAGGUCGUCCGUGAAGGGUUUUUAAUAGAUUUAAAGUUUAGGGUCAACUUCAAACGAUCAAAUCUUUUAAUUAUGUGGCCCAUGACCUAUCAAAUUAAAGGUCUCUGAGUCCUUUUUCCAACGCCACUGAGUUUGCCCAAUUCCCAUCUCGGAGUAAAAAUUUAUUCCCGAAAUAGUGAAGCACUGUCAGGUUGAAUUUCUUCACGACCCGUUUGACGGGCAGUGGUGGUCAUGACAACCCGUGAUGGGCUUCCAGUGAGCCAAUUCGGCAGUUUUUAAGUCAGGGGUUAUUGGGUCUUUUCCCAAUUGUUUUAACUCAAUACUCAGUCAUUUUUUACUUAUACCCAAAGCCCUAUAUAAUGAUUCUAAACCCCCAAAUGACCCAAACUAAAUUAUUCUCUCAAAUUCUCAAAAGAAGAUUAGACUCCUCCCUUCAAAUAUUUCUCCCUCUGGAACUUGAAGAAGAAAGAGUUGUAGCUAGGAUCAAGGUCAAGUCUCCAUUCCUUAAGAAUUUGUGGGCUUUGUUAUCAAGGUAUGAUGGCUUUUUAUUCAUGGAAUACUUUCAUCCAUGGAGUCCCCAAGAUUCGCCAAUUGAAAAGUAGAAAUUCCCCAAUUUGAGUUAGAGUUUUCUUCUAAUGUUGUGGGUCUUGAUCCAAUUGAGUGGAUUAUGAUUGUUUAUGAUUGAAUUGAUAGGAUUACAUGUUUUUAGGAUGAAUUUACAUGUAUCCAUGCCUAACCCAUCUAGAAAAAUGAAAUUGAUGUAAAUGGGUUUUAUGUCAUGAAAGGAGAAUUUGUGGGUUUAGAUGUAUUCUUAUAGGAUUGAUGAGAUACAUAAAGAAUUCUUUGAGAUUGAAGCAUAUAUGAUGAUUUAUGCUUAGAAUUGUCUUAAGAUUUAGGCAUAUAUGAAGCGUAUAAGAUGUAGGGCUUUGAAAGUAAAGCUUCUAUUAUGAAUUGAUGAUUUAGAUGUAAAUGUUGUGGAAGGGAUAGUUCCCAUAUAAAUUGCUUAUGUAUGAAUGUGAAUGGUUUUCUCACAUUGAAUGAUUCUAGGUUGAAAGGCUUGCUCACCUAAAAUGAAUCUAAGAACUUAUGAAUUAUGGUAAUAAGACCUUGGAUUGGUAAUGUGAUACCUUUCCAUGGAUAGCUUGGAUUGGUAAUGUGAUACCUUCCAUGGAUAUCUUGGAUUGGUAAUGUGAUGCCUCCAUGGGUAGCUUGAGUUGGUAAGUAGAUGAUGCCAUCUCAUGGUAGCUUGAGUUGGUAAGUAGAUGAUGUCAUAUCACGGUAGCUUGAGUUGGUAAGUAGACGAUGCCAUUUCAUGGUAGCUUGAAUUGGUAAGGAGGUGAUACCUUUUCAUGGUAGCUUGAUUUGGUAAAGAGAUGACACCUUUCCAUGGUAGCCUGGAUGGUAAUGAUGAUGUGCUCUUCCAUGGACAAUGGCUUAGCUUGGAUCGGCAAGAUGGCGUGCCUUCCAUGGAUAAUGAGAACAACUAAGAAUUGACUACUUCUCACAUCAAGUUAUCAUAGUUAUGAUGAAACAAGGUUCUUCAAGGAAGUAUCACAAGUAUGUUUAAGAUGAGAUUCACUUGUGUUGAUCAUGGUUUAUGACUUAUGUUGUUUAACUCAAGCUUGUGUUGAUGUUUUUACAAGCUACCAUAUUUAGUACAUGUUUGUACUAACGCAUACUCUUGCCUACAUUUCUUAUCCAAAUGUAGGGUUCGACGAUCUCGACUCGCAUCCCCGUGGCUAGGAUCUUAGUAGAGGCAAGACUUGAAGAUUAGUGAGUCCUCAUAGCAUUGAGGAUAUAUCCACCAUUUCCUUAUGAUCUUUCAUUUUAUGUUUUGAACAUUGUUGUAUGGGCAGUGUCCUAAGAUAUUCAUGUUUUAGAUGGUUUUGAGACAAAGUGUAAUAGACUUCUACUUUUGUUAUAAAACUUUGAUGUUGUUGAAAAUGUUUUAAAUUUCCGCUCAUUUCUAUUAUCUUAUAUUAUGAACGCUAAGUAGCUUGUAUGAGGCCUCUCGGGGUCUUGUACGCCUUGUUAUAUCUAGGGGGUACCCCUGGGUCAUGACAAUUACCCUAUCAUAUGAGUAAAAGUUUUGAAUUCAUUGGAGUAAUUGAAGCUUGUGGGCUUAUGGACCUUGGCUCUAAUGGACAAAAAUUCACUUGGUCCAAUCAAAGAGGCAUUAAUUUCAGAAUUUGGAAGAGUCUGGACAAAGCUAUGGUGAAUGACAAAUGGUUGGGGAUCAUGCCCCACACAUCUAUCAAUCUUCUACCCUCUGUAGGAUAUGAUCACUAUCCCGUUCUGAUGGAAAUGAAUGAAAUUCAGCAUAUACCUAUCAGAUACUUUAAGUUCCUUAAUUGCUGGGAUGAUCAUCACUCAUCCCUGGAUAUUGUGAGUGCUGGAAUAGAGAGAUGGAGGGCAAUCCUAUGUGGCUCUUCCACCAAUAAAUAAAAAGACUUUCAGCAACCCCUAGUAACUGUCGUGAAGGAAUUUGGUGAUAUUCAUGCUAAUGUCAAAGAUUAUGAGGAAAAGGUUAAAAUUGCUGAAGAAGAGCAUAUUUCCAAGAACACUGAAUAAUCCAGAACUUCUCUUCAUGCAAUUAAUGCUGAAUAUAUCAGAAUUCUCAAGAUGAAGGAAUCUAUCCUCAAGCAGAAAACUCAAUUACAACGGUUCAAGGAGGAGAUAUGAACGCUGCUUAUUUUCACGCUUUGAUAAGAGGCAGGAGAAGGAAGCUUCACAUCCAUAAGAUUCAAAAUGAUCAAGGUGAUUGGGUUCAGGGUGAGGAAGAUAUUACUAAAGCUGCCAGUGAUUAUUUUCAGAAUAUCUUUACUGGUGAGGAGAAGUUUAUUCAUGAAGAGGCUCUGAAUAGCGUUCCUAGAAUGAGAGAUAACAAUACUCUUCAAGCUAUAUCAACUAUGGAAGAAUUGAAAUGUGUAGUUUUUCCAUGAACCCCAACUCUACAGCUGGUUCUGAUGGUAUGAAUGGGAAGUUUUUCGAUCUUACUGGGAUAUCAUCAACAAAGAUCUGCUGUCAGCAAAAGAGGUAUGGUAUUAUCUCAAGACUGAGUAUGAAGGAGAUGAAAGAAUUCGAGGGAGCAAGUGUUAAAUUUAGUACGUCAGUUUAAGCUGCAAAGGAUGAAGGAAAGUGAGACCAUAAAUGAGUAUUCUGACGGACUUCUUAAUAUAGCAAAUCGAGUCAGAUUGUUGGGUUCCACUUUUAACGAUUCAAGGAUUGUUGAGAAAAUCCUUGUAAUAGUACCUGAAAGAUUUGAGGCUACUGUUACAACCUCAGAAAACACUAAGGACUUGUCCAAAAUUACACUAGCAGAGCUCUUAAGUGUUUUUCAAGCACUAGAGCAACGGCGUGUAAUCUCACAUAAAAGAGUUGUUGAAGGAGCCCUAUUAGUUAAACAUCAAGAUGAUGGAAGAAACAAGAAGAAGCAGAACAAGAAGAUACAAUGACAUAAUAGUGAGAAUUUUGCUAAAAGAAAGAACGCUAACGAUUCUCCUUGUCGGCACUGUGGCAAAAAAGGGCACCCUCCUUUCAAAUGUUGGUGGAGACCUGAUGCAAAAUGCAGCAAGUGCAAUCAACAGGGUCAUGAAGCUGUAAUUUGUAAAGCCAAAAUUCAGCAGCCUAAAGUUGAAGCUCAAGUUGUUGAUCGAGAAGAAGAAGAUCAUCUCUUUGUUGCAACUUGUUUCACAAGCCUAGAUUCAAGUGAAAGUAGGUUAAUUGAUAGUGGUUGCUCUAACCACAUGACUGACAUCUGAUAAGAUGUUGUUCAAAGAGUUGUGGAACACUGAGACAAAGAAAGUUAGAAUUGGAAAGGCCAGGGCGCCAUAGCCAUUACAGUGGCUCUAGAACUAAGUUUAUCCCAAAUGUUUUGUAUGUUCCAGACCUUAAUCGAAACCUUCUCAGUGUUGGUCAAUUAGUGGAGAAUGGAUUCAAUAUGUUCUUUUUAAACAAAACUUGUGUGAUAGAAAGAUCCAUCCGGCGAUGAGAUAUUCAAGGUCAAAAUGGAGGGGAGGUAUUUCCCUCUCAAUCCUUUGGAAGAAGAGCAGACAACUUUUCUUAUGUCAGGCAACUCUACAGAAGUUUGGCAUAAAAGAAUGGGUCAUUUUCAUCGUCAAGGUAUGAUGUUCUUUCAAAGAAAGGAACUUGUGAAUGAUACCAAGAUUGCAGAAUCGGUUGAAAAAUUGCCAAGCUUGUUUACUUGGAAACCUUUCCCAAAACAACUUGGAGAGCAUAAAAAAAGCUUCAACUCAUUCAUACAGACCUAUGUGGACCUCACAAAACACCAUCUUUAAAUGGUAGUCUGUAUUUAUUGAUGAUAUAACAAGACUGACCUGGAUUUUUUCUCUUAAAAUUCAAGUCAGAGGUAGCUGAUGUGUUUUGGAAUUUUAAGACAACAGUAGACAAUUUAUUAGAUCCAAAAGAUCUAGUAGAUGAUCCUCCUGUUAGAGGCAUGCGGUUGAUCUCUAAUAUCUAUCGGAGAUACAAUACUACAAUUUGUGAGCCCGCAAGCUAUGAGGAAGCAGAGGGGAUGACAAAUGGGUGGCAACAAUGAAGGAGGAGAUGAUGAUGAUCGGAAAAAAUCAAAUCUAGGUGCUUGUUGAGAAACCUCUAGACAGAAAGAUCAUUGGUGUAAAAUGGGUCUUCAGGACAAAAAUAAAUGUUAAUGGCUUCAUCAACAAACACAAAGCGAGGAUUCUAGUGAAAGGUUACGCUCAGAUCUUUGGAGUAGACUACUCAGAACUUUCACACCAGUUGCUCGACUUGACACAAUCAGAUUGCUACUAGUCAUUGCAGCGGAAAAAGGUUGGAAAGUUUAUCAACUUGAUGUUAAGUUGGCCUUUCUCAAUGGUCUUCUCCAGGAGGGGAUUUAUGUUGAGCAACCAUAUGGUUUUGUUGUCAAGGGGGAAGAAAAUAAGGUUUGUUUGCUAAAUAAAUCUCUCUAUGGUUAGCAAGCACCAAGAGCUUGGUAUAGCAAGAUUGACGAUCAUUUGCUAAGUUUAGGCUUCAAGAAGAGCCUAUCUGAGUCUACACUUUAUAUUAAGUGUUCAAGUGUAGACAUACUGAUUAUUUCUUUGUAUGUUGAUGAUCGCUUUUUCACAGGAAGUAAGGUUUUCCUAAUUGAGGACUUCAAGUUGGAAAUUAUGAAGGUCUUUGAAAUGACAGACCUUAGACUGAUGGUGUACUUUCUUGGAGUGGAGAUCAAGCAAAAUGAAGACAAUGUGUUCAUUUGCCAGAGAAAAUAUGCUCAAGAAAUCCUAAAGAAGUUUCAUAUGGAAGACUGCAAAGUUACGAGUACUCCAAUGAACCAAAAGGAAAAGUUUUCCAAAGAUGAUGGAACAGAAAAGGUGGAUGAGGCAUAUUAUAGAAGUCUUAUUGGCUGCUCGAUGUAUUUGACUGCAACUAGACCUAAUAUUCUAUAUGCAGUGAGUUUUUGUCUCGGUUCAUGCAUUGUGCAAGUGAUUUACACUUUAGAGAAGCUAAAAGAAUUGUCAGAUACAUCAAGGGAACUAUCAACUAUGGCGAUAAGUUUCACAAAAGUCAGAAGUUUAGACUUAACGGAUUCUCCGAUAGUGAUUGGGGUGGUGCACCUGAUAUGAAGAGUGUGAGAAAUAUAGGAAAAGAAUAUUACUGAAUUAUUGUUGUUUCUACAUUAUUACAUUGAACCAAAAAUAUUAUUGAAUUGUUGUUGUGUCUACAUUAUUACAUUGAGAUCCUAUUUAUAGACACCCUAGAAUACAAUCCUUUACCAAGUAGGAUACUAUUUACUAUUCCUAUUUCUAUUUGUAUUCCUAUUCCUAUUCUAAAUAGAAUUGUAUAAACUUAUUCCUAUUCUAACACUCCUCCUCAAGCUAGUGCAUACAAUUCAUGUACCUAGCUUGUUACAUAUGUAAUUAAUACGAAAGCCAAUGAAGGGCUUUGUGAAAUAUCUGUAAGUUGAUCAGUCGACUUCACAAAAUUGACAGUCAAUCUCAAUGUGCUUGUCUUCUCAUUAAAUACUGGAUUUGAUGCAUAAUGUCAGUCAAUCUCAAUGUACUUAAUCUUCUCAUGAAAUACUGAAUUUGAUGCAUAAUGCCGAUAAAACACAGAGUGAUAAAAUUACAGUGUUGAACUUUCCAAACCAAACUUCCAAAGACUGUUCAGACCAUAAAGUGACUCACAUAAUCGACAUACAAGGCUACUAAACUCCCCCUGAGCAACAAAGUGCUCAAAAUCUAGUAUAAAGUAUAUGGAUCAUGUUGGAAUCAAUAGAUGAGUCGAUAUUAAACAAGUCACCAAAAAAUUGGUCGGAACAUGCUUAUAUGCCGGAGUAUAAGAUUUGAUGGCUAAAAGUGGUCACAAACUAAGAAAUAAAAUUAUAUGGGUAGGGUCAGAAUGAUGUCACGACCCAACUAGAGAAAGGAAUUAUAUAGGAUAGUUCGAAUUGAUGGAACGACCCCAUUGAAAAAGAGAAAUAAUUGGGUAGGGUCGGAAUGAUGACACAACCCUACUGAUUUUUUUUAUACAGGUAGGGUUGGAAUGAUGGCACAACCUUACGCAAAUCAGAUUUGAGGAGUCACCGAAAAGACGAAUGGAACUAUGCAAAUCAAAUCUGAGGAGUCACUAAAAAGACACAUGAUGCUAUGCAACUCAGAUAUGAGAAAAUAGUUCAAAGAAAAUCCACGGUACUAUACAAAUUAAAUAUGAAAAGUAGUCUGGAGAGAUGCACGGUGCUACGCAAAUCAGAUAUGAAAAAAAGGUAGUCACCGAAAGGAUGGCACGGUGCUACACUAAUUAUAUAUAAGAAAGUAGUCACGUGAAAGAUACAUGGUGACCCAACUUUUGCUAACAUAAUCAUUGGCCAGACGGGCAACAUAUAUGGGUGCCAACCGCCGGCAGCGGAAACUCUUUGAUUUUCUACCAAGAUCGUAGAGGCUCUGAUACCAUGUGAGAAAUAUAGGAAAAUAAUAUUAUUGAAUUAUUGUUGUUUCUACAUUAUUACAUUGAACCCUAUUUAUAGACACUAGAAUACAAUCGUUUACCAAGUAAGAUACUAUUUACUAUUCCUAUUUCUAUUUGUAUUCCUAUUCCUAUUCUAAAUAGAAUUGUAUAAACUUAUUCCUAUUCUAUUCCUAUUCUAAUAGGAUUGUAUAAACAUAUUCCUAUUAUAACAAAGAGUACUUCAGGUUUUUGUUUCAUUCUUGAGUCAGGAGCUUUCUCUUGGUAUCCAAGAAUAAAGAUAAAGAUAAAGAUAUUACUACAAUCAACAGUCGAGGCAAAUUAUUGAUGCAACAGCAGCAGCUGUGAAUCAAGCACUAUGCUUGAGAAAAAUUAUGUGUGAUAUGAAUAUGGAGCAAAAAGAAGGGACUGAGGUUUAUAUUGAUAACCAAGCUGCAAUUUCUAUUGCUAAUAAUACAGUUUUUCAUGCAAAAACAAAGCAUUUCAAUAUUUAAUUGUUUUUCUUAAGAGGCGCAGUUUUUCAUGCAAAAACAAAGCAUUUCAAUAUUUAGUUGUUUUUCUUAAGAGGCAUGUAGAAAUAUGGAGAUGUGAAACUUCUUUACUACAAGAGUGAUGAGCAGGUUUCCCCCUUUCCCACUUCAAGACUUCUCAGAUCCAGAUAAAACAACACAAUUAUUAAUAGGGUGGGGUUGAUGGAGCAUUGAGUCAAUACCUUGCUUAUUAUUGGCAUCCUUGCUUUGCUUGUUAUGAAAUACUUUAUGGGCAACACUGGGAAUGAGGACAACAACACUACCAUGGGGUUGAGGGGUGGGAAGCAUUGAGUCAAUACCUUGCUUAUUGUUGGCAUCCUUACUUUGAUUGUCCUGAUAAACUUUAGGGUCAACACUGGGGGUGGGGACUGCAACACUACCAUAGGGUUGAGCGGUGGGGAUCAUUGAGUCAAUACCUUUUUGUUGUUCCUUACUAGUCUAAUUCUGAUGUGGUACUGGUUUAUAAACCUGAUUUUGUUGGUUGUUUUGGUGAUUCCUCUGAUUGUCCUGAGGAUAGCCUAUAAAGUUCUUUUGUGUUUGCCAUUGGUCUUCUUGCAUUAUUUGUUGAUCCUGGUGAGUUCUUGAUGGCUGUUCUUUGGUACCUGAAACACUAAGCAGAAAUAUUAUUUUUAACAGGUUGAGAAUUAAUUGGUAGAGUAGUUACCUGAGUGUCAUUUCAUUGUGUUGUUUUGGUUUUGUUCUUGUUUGCUGCUUUAGCCUCCUUUCUUAUUCUAUAUUCAUCAUCUCUCCUCUUGACUUUACAUGUAUGAACUUUACGGCCUUGGUGUUUGCAGUAAUCACUAUCUUGACUUGUUGGAGCCUGUGGAAAAAUAGAUGUGCAUGCAAAUAUAGUGGAAACAAAUCUAAUAUGCCUAGAGUGAUAUACUUGGUGCAUAAAGACAUCAACAACCUCCUACUCAUCAACUUUCCUUACAUCAGAUGGCCAUCCAAGUGGCCUGAGUUGAUACAGUUUGUAGGAAAUUACUUCCAUGAUAUCAAAAUUACAAAGGUAAGUUAAUUUAAACCAGGAAAGAUAAGAGCUGGUGGUAUUGUAAGACUUGCCCAAAGUGAUUUAAUCUAUGCUUUUGCUACUCCACUAGGCCAUGGUACCAACAACCAUGCAUGGAUUGAAGCUGCUCAAUGGGGUAUAUCUUGGUGUCUAAAUAAUGGUUUUAACCAGGUGAUUUUGGAAGUAGACUCCGAGUUAGUGGUUCACUGGAUAAAACAACAAGCUGCUCUACCUUGGAAUUUGCAGCAUGUGAUCAAUUCCAAUCAUUUUCCUGUAAUCACACCUUUAGAGAGGCUAACUUUAUUGCUGAUGUUUUAUUUAAAACUAUACAUAACAGUGAAGUCCCUCAACAUUACUUCCAUGCCCACCAGCUACCAAAAGAAGCUAGAGGAUACUACAUGCUGGACAAGAGUGAGAUGCCAAAUUUUAGAAGAAGAAAGAUGAAGAAGAUCAAAGAACCACCUUGACCCAUGACCCACCUCAAGGGUCACUAAAAAUAAACUCUAAGUCAUAAAUCCUAAACCUUCGAGCCUAACCCUAAACUCUAAUCUCUAAACCUUAAACCUUAGGGCAUAAACUGUAAACCCUAAACCUUUGGGCCCAGGGGCGAAUCUAUGUGUUAAAUUUGGGUCACCGGAACCCGUGGUCAUCCGACUAAACUCGAUAUAUUAUUUGUAUAAUUAUUAAAGAUUAUAUUAAAUAAAAACUUGUGGAACCCGUUCUCAAAGUCGCUGGAUGGUUCAUUGGUUUGACAGUCAGAUUUUAACACCAAGGUCAUGAGUUCGAUCCCAGCCAAACACAAUUCUCUUCAAUUUUUUUAUUAUCUAAAACUACACGGUUUUUUUUAAUUAAUAAAAGCGAAAUUCUAAAGUUGUUUUCAAAAUAUGAAGUCAGUAUAAUUGUAAAUUGAUGAUAUUUUUUUGUGGUAAUGUAAUAUUUUAUGUUUUGCUCGCUUAGUUAUUGUUAUUAUAAAUUUUUUGAUCCUAUCUUUAAAGCAAUGGUGCACCUGUUUUCUUGAAAUCUUGGAUUCGCCUCUAUUUGGGCCUAACCCUAAACUCUAAUUCCUAAACCCUAAACCUUAGGACCUAAACGCUUAACCUCUUAGGGCCUAAACCCUAAACCUUAAACCUUAGGGCCUACAUCCCAAACCUUAAAUCUUGGGGUGAAAACCCUAAAACAUAAACCAUAAAUCCAAAACCCUAAGUCUCAGAGAUUUACCCUAAGCCUUAAGCCCUAAACCUAAACCUUAGGACCUAAAACUUAAACCUUGUGGCCUAAAUCCUAAACCAUAAACUCUAAAUCUUAGGGCCUAAACUCUAAAACCUAAAUUAUAAACCAUAAACCACAAAUCUUAUGAUCUAAACCCUAAAUCAUACACCUUAGGGCCUAAACCCUAAAUCCUAAAACCUAAACCUUAGGACCUAAUAUCUAAACCCUAAAUCCUAAACCUUAGGGCCUAAACCCUACACCCAACCCUAAAUUCUAAACUCUAAACCUUAUACAUUAGGGCCUAAAAUUUAAAUCCUAAACUCUAGUCUUAGGGCCUAAACCCAAAACCCUAAGCCUUUGGGCCUAAACGCUAAACCCUAAACCUUAGGACAUAAACCCUUAAAUCAUUAACAAUAAACUUUAAGCUUUAGUGCCAAAACCCUAAACCUUAGGGUCUAAACCCUAAACCAUAAACCAUAAAUUAUGAAAUCUAAGCCUUAGUGCAUAAACUAUAAAACUUAGGGCCUAAACUGUAAACCCUAACCCCUUAAUCAUAAACCAUAAACCCUAAACCCCAAACCUUUAACCCUAAACUUUAGGGCCUAAACUAUAAAUCAUAAACUCUAAACCCUAAACCCUAAGCCCUACACCUUAGGGACUAAACCCUAAACUUUAGGGCUUUAACAUUGAACCCUAAACCCUAAACCUUAAUGCCAAAACCCUAAAACCUAAACCAUAAAUAUACCUUAGUGUUUAAGCCCUAAACAUAAUAGAGCAAUUGGGACAUGACCCGAAACCACUUUGUGUAGAGUAGACUGCUUUAGAUUACUAAAUUGGCAAUAACAUUCGGUGGAAACCAAUAUCAUUUAUAUUCCAAAGGAAUUAAUAUGGUUGUCUCGUUUAAACCAAGUGUAAGUUCCACAUCAAGCUGCAAAUCAACUAGUCCCACGCCCACCGUUCAAUAUGAAAAUCCCCCCAUAGCUGAAGUUCUCCUAAUGCAGUCCUAUAUAUAUUAAAUUCACCACAGAUAGGCAAUGGCCCCUCCAUCAGACUUCUGACGUCAACUAAUUCCUCUCAUACCAGUCUUCAUUCUAAUUUUCUGUUAGAAGCAUACACACAAGUGAUAUGGCAUUCAAAAUCAUUUAAUUGGGCCUAAAAUCUAAACCCUAUACCUUAGAAACUAAACCUGAAACCUUAACCUUAGGGCCUAAAUCUCAAAUCCUAAACCCUACAACAUCAACCCUAAACCCUAAACCCUACUCAGACUUUGCCACAUCCAACAACAAUCAAACACUCACAAGCAAUCGACGAUUUACCCUUAAGAAAGUUGUCAUUCUAUCCAUCAUCGGGCAUCAUCAAUCCAUAUCUCAAAUAUUUAAACAAAAACAAAGAAGCCACAAACUACAAAUCAAAAACUAAGAUAGACCACCCUAAACCUUAGGGCCUAAACCCUAAACUCUAAAACUUAGGUCCUAAACCCUAAACCUAGUGCCUAAACCCUAAACUAUAAACCUAAUGGCCUAAACCCUAAACCCUAAACCUUAGGACCUAGACCCUAAAGCCUAAAAUAUAUACUCUAAACUCUAAACCUUAGACUUUAAUCACUAAACCAUAAACCAUAAGCCUUAAACCCUAAACCCUAAAUCAUAAAAUCUAAACCUUAGGUCCUAAAUCUCAAAUCCUAAACAACAUCAACCCUAAACCCUAAACCUACGUGCCUAACCUAAACCCUAAUUUCUAAACCUUAAACCUUAGGGCCUAAACCCUAAACCCUACUCAGACUUCGCCACAUCCAAUACCAAUCAAACACUCACAAGCAAUCAACGAUUUACCCUUAAGAAAGUUGUCAUUCUAUCCAUCAUCGGGCAUCAUCAAUCCAUAUCUCAAAUAUUUAAACAAAAACAAAGAAGCCACAAACUACAAAUCAAAAACUAAGAUAGACCACCCUAAACCUUAGGGCCUAAACCCUAAACUCUAAAACUUAGGUCCUAAACCCUAAACCUAGUGCCUAAACCCUAAACUAUAAACCUAAUGGCCUAAACCCUAAACCCUAAACCUUAGGACCUAGACCCUAAAGCCUAAAAUAUAAACUCUAAACNNNNNNNNNNNNNNNNNNNNNNNNNNNNNNNNNNNNNNNNNNNNNNNNNNNNNNNNNNNNNNNNNNNNNNNNNNNNNNNNNNNNNNNNNNNNNNNNNNNNNNNNNNNNNNNNNNNNNNNNNNNNNNNNNNNNNNNNNNNNNNNNNNNNNNNNNNNNNNNNNNNNNNNNNNNNNNNNNNNNNNNNNNNNNNNNNNNNNNNNNNNNNNNNNNNNNNNNNNNNNNNNNNNNNNNNNNNNNNNNNNNNNNNNNNNNNNNNNNNNNNNNNNNNNNNNNNNNNNNNNNNNNNNNNNNNNNNNNNNNNNNNNNNNNNNNNNNNNNNNNNNNNNNNNNNNNNNNNNNNNNNNNNNNNNNNNNNNNNNNNNNNNNNNNNNNNNNNNNNNNNNNNNNNNNNNNNNNNNNNNNNNNNNNNNNNNNNNNNNNNNNNNNNNNNNNNNNNNNNNNNNNNNNNNNNNNNNNNNNNNNNNNNNNNNNNNNNNNNNNNNNNNNNNNNNNNNNNNNNNNNNNNNNNNNNNNNNNNNNNNNNNNNNNNNNNNNNNNNNNNNNNNNNNNNNNNNNNNNNNNNNNNNNNNNNNNNNNNNNNNNNNNNNNNNNNNNNNNNNNNNNNNNNNNNNNNNNNNNNNNNNNNNNNNNNNNNNNNNNNNNNNNNNNNNNNNNNNNNNNNNNNNNNNNNNNNNNNNNNNNNNNNNNNNNNNNNNNNNNNNNNNNNNNNNNNNNNNNNNNNNNNNNNNNNNNNNNNNNNNNNNNNNNNNNNNNNNNNNUAUCUUAAAUCAUUUGGAGUACAAGGAGAAGUUUAUGAUCUCCUUUGUCUAUGCUAAAUGUAAUGAGAAACUGAGAAGACCUCUAUGGGACAGGUUACUUCAUUUUUCCAGUUUAGAUACUCCAUGGAGUACCAUUGGAGAUUUUAAUGUGAUUACCUCUCCGGAAGAAACAUAUGGAGGCCUUCCCUACAACAUGAACAAGAGUUUUGAAUUCAUAAGUGUGAUAGAAGCCUGUGGUUUAAUGGAUUUGGGGUACAAUGGUCAACAUUACACUUGGUGCAACCAAAUAACUGAGGCAGCUAGGAUAUGGAAAAGGCUAGACAGAGCCAUGGUGACAGAAAAAUGGCUAGAGGUGAUGCCUCAAACUACUAUAUCUCACCUUCCUUCUGUUGGUUCAGAUCAUACACCUUUACUCAUGGAAAUUGUGAGCAGAACUGACAACAAAAUAAAAUACUUUAACUGAUUUUCUGAACACAGUGAAGGCAUGUUGGGAGAGAGAAAUUCAAGGGAACCCUAUGUGGAAACUCCAUCAGAAAAUGAAAAGAUUGGCUUCCACUUUGAGCAAUUGGUCUAGAAGUGAAUAUUGGGAUAUCUUCAAGAAUGUGAUGGAAUAUGAAGAAAAAGUCAAAGUUGCAGAAGAGGAGGUCAUUCAGAAUAAUUCAGAAGAGAACAGAGCUAAGUUGCACCAGACCAAUGCCAACUACAUCAAAUUCCUAAAACCAGGCUUCUAUUAUGAAACAGAAGACUCAGCUUCAGUGGUUCAAGGAAGGAGAUGUCAAUUCUAAAUAUUUUCACACUAUCAUGAGGGGAAGAAGAAGAAGGUGAUUCAUUCACAAGAUUUGCAAUGACAAUGAUGAAUGGGUUCAGGGGGAUGAAUAUAUUGCCAAAGCUGCCUGUGAUUAUAUCCAGCAUUUUUUCACUGGUCAUAACAACAGAAUUAAUACUGAGAUUCUCAAUUGCUUAGACAGGAGGGUCUCACCAGAACAAAACCAAAUGCUCCAGGAGAUGCUACCCUGGAUGAAGUUAAGCAAGUAGUUUUCUCUAUGAAUCCUAAUUCUGCCCCUGGCCCUGAUGGAUUUGGAGGAAAGUUUUUUCAGGCAUGCUGGGAUAUUAUCAAGGAGGAUCUGCUUUCUGCUAUCCAUGUUUUUUUCUGUGGUGCCAUCAUUCCUAAAUUUAUGUCUCAUGCUUGCCUUGUUCUUUUGCCCAAGGUUGACCAUCCUAAUAAGUUCAGUGAAUUCAGACCCAUAAGUUUGAGCAACUUUACCAACAAGAUCAUCUCCAAACUUCUUUGCCUCAGAAUUGCUCCUAUACUCCCUAAUCUUGUCUCUGAGAACCAGUCUGGCUUUGUAAGGGGUAGGAGUAUUUCUGAGAAUAUCAUGUUAGCACAGGAGAUCACUCAUGGCAUUAAAAAACCCAAUGAAGGAGACAAUGUGAUAAUCAAGCUAGAUAUGGCUAAGGCAUAUGACAGAGUGUCUUGGUCCUAUACUAGCUUGGUUCUUAGGGCUAUGGGAUUUGGUGAGAUUUUUAUUGACAUGGUGUGGAGAAUCAUGAGUAAUAACUGGUACUCUAUGGUGGUGAAUGGGACCAGACAUGGCUUCUUCCAUCAAACAAGGGGACCCACUAUCACCAGCAUUAUUCAUUUUGGGUGCAGAGGUUCUUACUAGAAUGCUAAAUCAGCUUCAUCAGAUUCAGGGCUACAAGGAUUUUCAGAUGGAACCUAGAGGACCUCAAAUCAAUCACUUAUGCUUUGCAGAUGAUGUGAUUUUGUUUACUGCAGGUACAAGGAACUCACUGAGACUAAUUAUGAAGACUCUUAAUACUUAUGAAAGGGUAUCUGAUCAACUGAUCAUCAAUAAGGAUAAGAGUCACUUCAUGGUUCCUAGUAACAGUCCCAAUGACAUUAUUUGCAUGAUUAAAGAGAUCACUGGCUUCACUCAGAAGAAUAGCCCAAUUACUUACUUAGGAUGUCCUUUGUACAUUGGGGGGAAAAGAAUCAUCUACUACUCAGAUCUUGUGGCUAAAGUGGUUAAAAAGAUCAGUGGUUGGCAAUCCAAGAUUCUUAGUUAUGGAGGAAAAGUCACCUUAGUGAAACAUGUACUUCAGUCAAUCCCUAUUCACACCAUGGCUGCUAUUUCACCUCCUAAGAUCACCAUUAACUACAUUAAAAGAAUUACUGCUGAUUUCUUUUGGGGGUGGGAAAAGGAGAGAAAGAAAUACCAUUGGGCAUCAUGGGAAACUCUAAGCCUACCUUGUGAUGAAGGUGGUAUUGGGGUUAGACAAUUAGAGGAUGUUUGCACUUCACUACAAUAUAAGCAAUGGUGGAUAUUCAGAACCAAAAACUCAUUAUGGGGGCAGUUUUUGAAGGCCGAGUACUGUAAAAAAGCUAAUCCAGUAGCCAAAAAGCUUGACACUGGACAGUCAUUGGUUUGGAAUUAUUUGAUGAGGAACAAGAAGACUGUAGAGGAACAGAUCACAUGGAAAAUUCACUCUGGGAAUUGCUCCUUCUGGUGGGAUGACUGGACAGGGGAGGGUCCUUUGGCCCAGCAGUGCAGUGAAAUCAACAGUUUAAACAACCCUCCUGUUUCAUUUUUCUUGAUGGAUGGUCAUUGGAAUGAAACUAUGUUAAGGUAAAAUAUUCCUCCCAACAUGGUGCCUAAAGUCAUGGAAACUCAUAUCCAUUAUCAAGCUGGAGUGACAGAUGAAGCUGUUUGGAAGCCAACUGAGAAUGGGAAUUUUACUUGUUCAUCCGCUUGGGGUCUGAUCAGGAAGAAAGGAACCAAAACCAAACUCACUUCUCUUAUCUGGAAGAAGAACAUUCCCUUCAAAGUGUCAUCUUAGUGUUUAAGCCCUAAACAGAAUAGAGCAAUGGACAUGACCCGAAACCACUUUGUGUAGAGUAGACUGCUUUAGAUUACUAAAUUGGCAAUAACAUUCGGUGGAAACCAAUAUCAUUUAUAUUCCAAAGGAAUUAAUAUGGUUGUCUCGUUUAAACCAAGUGUAAGUUCCACAUCAAGCUGCAAAUCAACUAGUCCCACGCCCACCGUUCAAUAUGAAAAUCCCCCCAUAGCUGAAGUUCUCCUAAUGCAGUCCUAUAUAUAUUAAAUUCACCACAGAUAGGCAAUGGCCCCUCCAUCAGACUUCUGACGUCAACUAAUUCCUCUCAUACCAGUCUUCAUUCUAAUUUUCUGUUAGAAGCAUACACACAAGUGAUAUGGCAUUCAAAAUCAUUUAAUUGGGCCUAAAAUCUAAACCCUAUACCUUAGAAACUAAACCUGAAACCUUAACCUUAGGGCCUAAAUCUCAAAUCCUAAACCUUACAACAUCAACCCUAAACCCUAAACCUACGUGCCUAACCUAAACCCUAAUUUCUAAACCUUAAACCUUAGGGCCUAAACCCUAAACUCGAAACCCUAUACCCUAAACUCUAAAACUUAGGUCCUAAACCCUAAACCUAGUGCCUAAACCCUAAACUAUAAACCUAAUGGCCUAAACCCUAAACCCUAAACCUUAGGACCUAGACCCUAAAGCCUAAAAUAUAUACUCUAAACUCUAAACCUUAGACUUUAAUCACUAAACCAUAAACCAUAAGCCUUAAACCCUAAAGCAUAAAGCAUAAAAUCUAAACCUUAGGUCCUAAAUCUCAAAUCCUAAACCUUACAACAUCAACCCUAAACCCUAAACCUACGUGCCUAACCUAAACCCUAAUUUCUAAACCUUAAACCUUAGGGCCUAAACCCUAAACCCUACUCAGACUUCGCCACAUCCAAUACCAAUCAAACACUCACAAGCAAUCAACGAUUUACCCUUAAGAAAGUCUUCAAUCUAUCCAUCAUCGGGCAUCAUCAAUCCAUAUCUCAAAUAUUUAAACAAAAACAAAGAAGUCACAAACUACAAAAUCAAAAACUAAGAUAGACCACCCUAAACCUUAGGGCCUAAACCCUAAACUCAAAACCCUAUACCCUAAACUCUAAAACUUAGGUCCUAAACCCUAAACCUAGUGCCUAAACCCUAAACUAUAAACCUAAUGGCCUAAACCCUAAACCCUAAACCUUAGGACCUAGACCCUAAAGCCUAAAAUAUAAACUCUAAACUCUAAACUUUAGACCCUAACCACUAAACCAUAAACCAUAAGCCUUAAACCCUAAAGCAUAAAGCAUAAAAUCUAAACCUUAGGUCCUAAAUCCUAAAACCUAAACCAUAAACACGAAACCCUAACCCAUAAACCAUAAACCAUAAACAAUAAAUUGUAAACCUUAGGGCAUAAUCCCUUUAACCUUAGAGCCUAAACUCUAAACCCUAAAUCAUAAACCAUAAACCAUAAACCAUAAAUCCUCAACCCUAAACCUUAUGGCCUAAACCAUAAAUCCUAAACCCUAAACCUUAGGUCCUAAACCAUAAACUCUAAACCUUAAACCUUAGGGUCUAAACCCUAAAUCGUACACUAGGGACUAAAUCCUAAACCCUAAACUCUCAACCCUAAACCUUAUGGUCUAAAAUCUAAACCAUAAAUUCUAAGUCCUAAACCUAAAUCACUAAAUCAUAGUGCCUAAACCCUAACCUUAGGGUCUCAAAUCUAAACAUUAGGGACUAAACCCUAAACCUAAUUAGGGCAUUAACCUUAAACCCUAAACUCUAAACCUUAGAGCCUAAAUCCUUAAGCGUAAACCAUAAAUCCUAACCCCUAAACCAUAAAUCCAAAACCUUAGGGUUUAAACCCUGAACCCUAAACCAUAUAUCAUAAACCCUAAACUAAGAGGGCCUAAACCCUAAAUCCUAAGCCAUAAACCCUAUACUCUAGACCCUAAAUAUUAGGGCCUAAAUUCUAAACCCUUAACCCUAAAUCAUAAACCCUAAACCCUAUGGCGUAAACCCUAAACUCUGAACCCUGAACCUAAACCCUAAACCCUAAAUCCUAAGACUUAAACUCAUGGUCUGAGUUGUUGCCUGAAAAUGACCACUUGAAUCAGCUUCUUUAUACACAGGAUUCACUUUUUCUUGUUGAACUAGAGCAUUAACCUCAACCCUGCAUGAGUUCACCUUACCCUCAUCAUCACUGUGAACCAAUUCAUACCCCUCCAGACUCAUAAUAUAGAGAAUCUUCAGCAUCAGGGUCUAUAUCUUCAAUCAAAAUUGGACUCAGAUUCUGACUGUCAUUCUGAGUAGUCAUGUUGAUCUUGUUGUUGAUGUUACCUUGUAUCAUAGGAGCUUGGUGAGCUGUGGUAGUAGGAGCUCUAAGGUCAAUCCUAGAGUCAUCCAUAUUAGAACUACCACCCCCUUUUGGUUCCCCUUUCUAAAAGUUAGUGAUUUUCUCCUGCAUACCCCCUUUCACACCUCCAGACUUCUCAGAUCCAGAUAAAAGAACACAAUUAUUAGUGGGGUGGGGUUGAUGGAGAAUUGAGUUAAUACCUUGAUUAUUGUUGGCAUCCUUGCAUUGCUUGUUAUGAAAUACUUUUGGGGCAACACUGGAAAUGGGGCCAGCAACACUACCAUGGGGUUGAGGGGUGGGGAGCAUUGAGUCAAGUCCUUGCUUAUUCUUAGCAUCCUUGAUUUGAUUGUCCUGAUAAACAUUAGGGGCAACACUGGGGUGGGGACUGCAACACUACUAUCGGGUUGAGGGGUGGGGAGCAUUGAGUCAAUACCUUUUUGUUGUUCCUGGCUGGUCUGAUUCUGAUGUGGUACUGGUUUAUAAACCUGACUUUGUUGGUUUUUUGGUGAUUCCUCUGAUUGUUUUAAGGAUAGCCUCUAAAUUUCUUUUUCUUUUAUGUCUGCCAUUGGUCUUCUUGCAUUUUUUGUUGAUACUGAUGAGUUCUUGCUAGCUAUUCUUUGGUACCUGAAACACUAACAGAAAUAUUAUUCUUAACAGACUGAGAUUUAAUUAGUAGAGUAGUUACCUGAGUGUCAUUUGCUUGGGUUAUUUUGUUUUGUUCUUGUUUGCUGCUUCCACCUCCUCUCUUCUUCUAUAUUCAUCAUCUUUCCUCUUGUUGUUCUUGUUUGCUGCUUCCACCUCCUCUCUUCUUCUUUCUAUAUUCAUCAUCUUUCCUCUUGACAUUACAUGUAUAAACCUCUUAUGGCCUUGGUGUUUGCAGUAAUCACUAUCUUUACCUGUUGGAACCUGUGGAAAAAUAGAUAUGCAUGCAAAUAUGGAGGAAGCAAAUCUAAUAUAACUAAAGUGAUAUACUUGGUGCUUAAAGACAUCAACAACCUCCUACUCAUCAACUUUUCUUACAUAAAAUGGUCAUCCAAGUGGCCUAAGCUGAUGCAGUUUGGAGGAAAUUUCUUCUAUGAUAUCAAAACUACAAAGGUAAGUUGGUUUAAGCCACCUAAAAAUGUGGUUAAAAUCAACUCUGAUGGUAGUGCAUUAGACAACCCAGGAAAGAUGGGGGCUGGUGGUAUUGUCAGAGAUGCCCAAGGUGAUCUAAUCUAUGCUUAUGAUACUCCUCUAGGCCAUGGUACCAACAACCAAGCAGAGAUUGAAGCUGCUCAAUGGGAUCUAUAUCUUGGUGUCUAAAUAAUGGUUUUAACCAGGUGAUUUUGGAAGUAGACUCUGAGUUAGUGGUUCACUAGAUAAAACAGCAAGCUGCUCCACCUUAGAAUUUGCAGAAUGCUGUAGCUAACCUUAAGAGAACAUGUGAUUAGUUCCAAUCCUUUUCCUGUAAUCACACCUUUAGAGAGGCUAACUUUGUGGCUGAUGUUUUAUCCAAAACUAGCCAUAACAGUGAAGUCCUCAACAUUACUUCCAUGUCCACCAGCUACCAAAAGAAGCUAGAGGAUACUACAUGCUAGACAGGAGUGAGAUGCCAAAUUUUAGAAGAAGAAAGAUGAUGAAGAUCAGAAAACCACCUUGAUCCGACAGCUUUCCUUAUGAUACAAAAGGGAACAUAUACUUUCAAGAAGAGCUUUAAAGGAAAAAAAUACACACAAGGACAUCACAAAAUCAACUAAACUCAAAUUCUCUAGAAUCCCUUGAAACCCGGCCUAAGAUCAUUUUAAGUACUCCCUUUGUUUCAAUUUGUUUGUCUUACCUUCCUUUUUAGGAUUUUUAAAAAAGAAUGACUCUUUUCUAAUUUGAAAACUCCUUAAUUUCAUUAUCCCGCAUGGUAUGUUUGUGACCAGAAAAUCAAAGAACAUCUUGGUACAGUAUACAGUUUUAGUUUUAAGACUACAAAUUCAAAAGUACUAUUUACUUUCUUAAACUUUAUGUCAAGUCAAACAAAGAUAAACAAAUUGAAACUGAGGGAGUAACAAUCUUUGAUCAUUUUUAGUAUCAACUAUACAUGCAGGAUUACGAUAUUCCAUUACCAGCAAGAAGACACAUUCAAACAUGCAGUUGCAUUGACUAAAAAUAGUAAAUUCAGUAUAACCAAUUCAUAAAAUUGCACUACUUGGGAAUAUACUACAGGCAUCUCUCUCUCUCUCAGUCACACACACACUAUCAGAUAAAGAAAGGAGUUUACUUUUGUAAUGUUGUUAGAACUAGAUUUAGACUCCUCAAUGAGCACAAUGUGAAUGAGGAAGAAAGUGUAUAUUUGGAAAGCAUUUCGAUAUGAUGCAACUAGAUCAGCAAGCGAACACUCAUCCUCUUCACUGUCAUUCUUCUCUUCAUCAGCAUUUCCAUCCUUCUGUUGAGACACCCUCCAGAGAGAAUCCACAGUAGGGAGCAGCACACUGAGAUUGGACCUAAGUGACUCCACAAGAUUUUGCUUACAGCCAGGAGUAAGGCAAGGAAACUCCUUCAUUAACGAAUACACAAGAUCGAACACAUCCUGCUCCUCCACGCAGAAUAGCUCUUUGUCAGAUAAGUCAAAGGAGACACAUGUUUAAUUGCAAACAAAAAACAGCAAAUUUAGAGAAAUGAGUUGGAAAAAUCAAAAAAGAAUGACAACCCAGAUGGAAAAUUCGAAAAGAAAACAAAAAAAAAGAGAAACCAGAUGGGAAAAUAGCAAGGAAUGUGAACCAAGUAGGAAAAUCGAAAAAAAGAAUGAGAAAGAAUUUCAAAAGAGAUUGAAAAUUUGGUCUUGGGAGUUUCGGUAAGGUGAAAACCCAAGAUGGGAAAUACAUACGAUGAAUUCUACCAAUUCAGAAGGACGAAGAGCACUAACUAAAGUGGGAUUUUGAACUGAGGGGCGACUACAAUCUGAGUCUUCCUCUUCAAGAGGGCCUAAACAUUUUUGGUACUAGGUUUGAAGAUUUCUAUAGCGUAAAAUGGUGGGAAUUUCCUGAUCUGAUUUUGAAUAAGCAUAAAGCGAUAAAGGGGGGAGGCGGGGUGGGGGUGGGGAGUAGAGUUUGAAAUGGGAAAUGUGGGUGUAUGAGAGCGGGAAGAUGAAGAGGAAAGGCACAAAAUUAAAUAUUUAAUUACCAAAACCUAGGCAGAGAAUGCACCAAUCUUAGCCAAUGGGAGGCAAGCAAAGGCCUUGUAGCAACUUCUAACCUAGUAAUCAGCAUGAUCUUGGCAUAGAAAACAAUGUGUAGACUAUUGCUAGGCUUGUUAUUUCUUUUAAAGGGACUUGGAUAGAGAACCGGAACAAUAACAACUACUAUGUCUCAAUAUCAAACAAGUUGGAUUCACGAACAAAAAUAACUUUGUAGAAAGACCAAAAUCAAAAGUGGAACAAAAGAAGUUCAUAAAAUAUGGAGAAUUGAAUCCCAUAUGAUCAGAGUGUACUGGAACUCAAUCAAGAACUGAAUCUUACAUUUUUCAGGAAAAUGAUCCACAACAUGAUUAGGCUUAGAGGACCAUUGACCAUUAAAAAAAGUUAGCAUACAAUGCAGUUGAAAGGAAAGUCAACUGUCCCGAUGUAAUUGAAAAUGCAAGGAAACGUUUAAUUCUAAGAGGCUGGUCUAGGACCUUCGCCAGAACCUGGUUAUUCUUCUAGUGGAAUUGGAAGUAUCAAGAUUUUGAUCACUUUUGCUGCUGUUCUUAGUUCUGGAUGUAGUGGAAUUUGAAGUAUCGAGAUUUUGAUCACUUUUACUGCUGUUGUUAGCUCAGGAUCUAGUGGAACCUGCAAAUGUACAAUUGUUAGUGUUUGUAUAGGAUAUAGGAUAUAGGAUGUUGUAAGGAACCUCUGGUGCGAUUUAUAUAGGAUUGAACUUCAUUUUCAUCAAUUAUUGAAUCAGUCACCUCACUGGAAGCAUGAGAAUUUGCUUCCGACUUAGCACAUGGUGGUUCCAAAGGUGAACAUUCUGUUUGCACUUCCAUUGAUGGAUCUGUGACUUCAGAAUCUGUUACAUGACUAAGAAAAUGAAGUUACAGAAAAUUCAAGAUAACCAAAUCAGGAACUAAGCCCACUCCUUUCCAUUAUAGAUCAUAUGAAACGGAGCAGAUGCAACAAUCCUGUUCCAUGUUGGCUUCACUCAUUUUGUCUAUACAGUUUGCACAUUGACUUUGAAAGUUUUAUCAGUCAGUUUCACCACUAGCCUCUUUAUAUAUCUCCAUCUCUCUCAGCAAAAUAACUUUAGAGCUGUUUUUAUCAAUAUCUACUCAUAAAUGUACAAUUCUGAAAAAACCCAUCAUUUAAAUUUUAUAUGGAUUUUUGAAAGAAAAAGUUGUAGUGAAGGAUCAACUAUUUAUAUAAGUUACUACCACGUAAUAACUUGUUAACAGCUACUACAUCCUCUACAUUGUUUUAAAAUUACUUGUAUAAAUUAAAGAGACAAGUAUGAGAAGCUCUAGUAAUUCCCUCCGCCAAAAAUAUUUUCAAAAUGAAAACUUUGUAAAUGAAACAUGAAAUAGUAAUAACUACAUAAACAGGCAAUAGAUUUGGAGAAAACUACCUUUAGUAAUUUCAGAUUCACCGAUUUCCUCUUCUUCUUUUUCAGUCACUGUGAUGCUCUCCAAGGCUCUCCACUUUCUGUUGAUGGCUUUGAGCAUUUUUGGCAGUAAGUUCUUACUCCUUCCUCUCAAUGUUGAAUUUAUUCAACUUUUCUUCAAACUCCUCAAUGCAUGAUUCGAGUUCAGGUUUAGCAAACCUCUUCCCCUAAAUGAAGACAUUCAAAUAGGCAGAUAAAGUUCACUUGGUUUCGUCAAGCGCGUUAGCGAAAGGUACUUUCCCUGCCAGAAAUUGCAUUUUCAGCUCUUGACAUCUUUUUGCCUCAAGUUCACUUGGUUUCUUCAAAUAUCUCCUAAAUCAACUCUCCAUUUAAUUUUCCUGCAAAUAAAGAAAAUCAAAACCACAAGAAGCUCUUCUUUCAACACACACCACAAAUGAAUUUCCCUUUCUCAAUUAAGCACAAAGGUAAUGGCUUUGGUUGGUACUAACAAAUAGUCCACAUGCAAAAUUUUCACAAAAGAAAUCCCUCUCAUUCUCAUGAAACAUUUCCAAAAACCAAGAAUCAUUUAUGUGACAACAACUCAAACUCAAGAAAUCACUCAACUCAUUAACUCUUUCACAUGCUCACUUGACUCAAUUAGGAAUUUUCAAAAUCACCACUUUUUCAACUUACAUGCCCUCACAAAAAGAAGUGUCCCAAAACCCCACACACAUAUAAACAAGACAAGGGACAAAGAUGCAACACUCACACUCACAAAGAAUCAUCUCAUGCACACAAAUGUCACACCAUAGGCUUGCCCAUAUUUUCAAUCAACAUUGACUCAACUCCAUUUGCUUAGAAAUCUCAAAGGACUUUGUUAAGCUUGUAAUGUAGGCUUAGGGAAGGUUAGGAUAUCAUUUAGGUAUAAGUGACUACACCCUCCUUGAACACUACACAACAACUCAUCGUUUCCAACUUUCUCCACUUCUCUUCACCAUGCACAUUCCACACUACUUUUUCAUUUUUCUUUUCUUAUUUCCACUCUAGAUGCCCCACAUGCAACCAUUUUCAACUUUUCGAGAAUUCAAGCCUCAUUUAUUCAUUUUCUUUCUUUCUUUUUCAAAGUUUUUUCUUUCUUUAAGACUUCCCAUCCAUCCUUCAAUUUCUCUUCUUUUUUUUUCUUUUUUUUUUUUUAUAUCAAGCCCUCAUGUGGUAAGCAUUCCUUCAAUGAAUUUCCCAUAACCCCCCCAACUUAGGCUUUUAGCCUAAACUUUCAAAACCUCAAGUUCAAGGAGGGAAGGGUUCAAAAGAGGGUUACUUUUUCAAAAAGGCUAAGGCUUGUAAUGUGGUUGCCAAUAAAAAGGAUUAGGCUCAAAGGGGACAACUAAGGUUAUUUUGUACAAAGGUGGAAUUUUUAGGCCAAGUGGACUCAAGAACAUCAAAGAAAACCUAAGAUCAUUUCUCCAACCAAACUCAAUCAAGACCAACAUUUCAAGACCAACCGGGCAAGUUCUAGGUAACAAAAGCAAACACAAGGCAUUAUUCAACAACUCACCACACAUGACCUGCAAAUCAAUCAAAAUGGUUCAAAAUCUUCCUUUUAAAAAUACAAGAAGUAUUGAACAUUUUAAUCGCUAACGAAUCAAAAGUCACAAAAAGAGUGGUAAGAGUUGUCACAAAAUUAUUCGUAACAUGAUCAACCUUUUAAAAAUUGAGAGGUAUGCUCAACGCUAUUCACAUGCAAGACUAUGCUCUUAGUACCAACCAAGUCAAAACCUUCCCAAAAAGACAAUGAUUUUGCCCUUAAGAAAGUCGUCAACAAUCAUGCAUCUAUUCGGGAACAACUACUCAAAAUUCGCCACAAUCAACGCCAAUCAAACACUCACAAGCAAUCGACAAUUUACCAUUAAGAAAGUCAUCACUCUCUAUCCAUCAUCGGGCAUCGUCAAUCCAAAUCUUAUUAUCAAAAGAAAAACAAAGAAGCUACAAACUACAAAUCAAAAACUAAAAUAGACCAAUUUAACACAAUAUCCACAGAAACAUCCACAAUAUCAAAUCCCGACAAGGGCACACCAAUCCAUAACAAAGAAAGCAAAGUAUGCCCGACAAGGGCACAAUCAUUGUAUGCAAAAACAAUCAACAAAAUGACUACAAGGGAGGCACCCCCAACUGAAAAUGAGAUGGUGUCCUCACAAUCAAAAUAUCAAAAAAGAAUACGAGGGACUCCCUGAAUUGCAUCACUCUCAGCUCGAGCCUGUAGGAAAUGUGAGGUCCUCCUCAUCCGAAGCACUGCUACCACAUUAACUCCUCAGCUUUCCCUUUAUAAAUGCUACAGAGGAGCAAACCAUCAGAAAACGGGAGGAAAAGAAGUCACACUCAGAUCUAGCACAAAACAAAUAGCACAUCAAGUCUCACAAAGCCAGUAAGAAAAUACAAGCAAGAUGGUUAACACAAUGCUACAA